GGGAGGUGGAGAAAGGUUGGAGGGGAACCACUGGCAAAGAAGUCGUUUCAUACUGAGCUGUUUGUGCUCACUGGGAGUCACUGCACCUGUGUAUUUCAGAACUGGUCACUCACAGUCCAACUGGUUGUUUAUCAACGCUGUCAUGUCUGCAGCUCGUGCAGCAAACAGCAGGAGGGAGGCAGAGUUGGACCUGCCAGACUCUCAAUAACAAAAACUCAGAGCAAAGGAUUUGUGUUUGGUGAGUUUCUGCCUCCAUCUUGAGACAAAAGAAAUCUGAGGAACAAACUUGCCUGGCUGGAAUGAAAGGCUGACAGCAAGCAGACUUGUGUGGACAAGGGUGAGUAACUCACAACCAGCUGAAAUUAGUUUGUUUGGUCUAAAAGUUUUUAGCUCUUUGAUCUGUCUGUAAGUCACUCCAGUAAACUCUGCUAGACUGUAACAUUCAUGCAGUUUAUCUUGACUUGAGGUUUUAUUAGUCUGGUUAUAUAUGUGUGUGUGUGUGUGUGUGUGUGUGUGUGUGUGUGUGUGUGUAUGUAUGUGUGUCUGCACAGGCGCGUGUUGGGGCUCAUGUUUUGUUUGCUGAAAUUUAUGAUGUGUUGGCUGGUUUGUGGUUCAUCUUUGGGUUAGACUCAGCUGCUCUGCUCCUCUCAGGGCUUGUCUUGUUUUCUCUUGUUCAUUUGUUCAGACAUCUCACAUGUCCAGAAAUAAACACACGCGCACACUUCCACACACAGGAAGCGACAGGACAGUGUGAUGUCUUCACUCCACAGCCGACAGGAUUUGCUCCUGCUGGUUCAAAUAACAGCAGUCCACUUGUAAACCAAUCUUCUGUUGUACCCUCGCUCAGUUUUUAACAAAAAAAUGGUUCAAUAAGUCUGGGAUUUUCUGGUGGAUUAUCUCUGACUUCAAAUUAAAACAAAAACAACAAAAAAAUUGUUGCUGUUUGUUUUUGAACAUUGCAGUGUUAUUCAGUUUUUUUCAAUUAAUUCAAGUCAGGGUACAACCAUCAACAGAGGUGAAAAUGGCACCAUAAAUGCUAGUAUUCUUGCACUGUACGUGAAAAAAAGAAGCAGAAGUUGUGUUUAUGGUAAAGUUUAUUGUUAAAACUGCAUCUAAAGUCAAGGUGUAUUUUUUAAAAGCUUAAACUAUUCUGAAAGAAGAGGGUAAAGCCUCUCUGACAGUUACUUAGGGCUAAACAAGCAUGCUGAGUUUUGCUGUAUAAAAAAAUCAUCAGACAUCAUCCCAGCGGUAUUUCCAAUCCUUAAAGUCACAGAUCACAAAAAAGUCAUUUUUAGACAUCAUAGUUUUGGGGCUUCCUUGAGAGCCACAAAUUGUUUUUGUGUUUAAAUUGAAACUAAACUGACAUAAGAAGUUUGUGUAGGAAAAAGAUAUCGAUUUGUGAAUAUAGACCUUACUGUUUGUCCACUGUGAUUGGUCCAUUCUUUAAAGCCACUUUUACAAGUGGUAGCUCAUUCUAAGAUCAUGGUUUCUGCUGGUAUCUUGGUCCAGGUGUUGAACAGAUAUACAAGUUUUCAUAUUUGGAAUGUAAUAUGGUGAAAUCAGUCCAUGUUCUUGCAGUAAAUAUUCCCUGGUCCUUAAGUGUCUUGAUGUAAUACAAUUUUUUAACCACUUCGAAAUAGAUAAAUGAGAAGUGAUAUCCACAAAAAGACCCUGCAGUCAGUCCAUCCCUCUUAACCCCUCUUCUUAUAAAGGGCUUGGGUUAUGGUGUCUGCAUGCAAAGAGAGGUUUUCCAGACAUCCCUCCUCCAUGGAAGUUUCUACAGCUCCUAAACUCUAAGAUUUUCUUAGGCCAGAUGAGAUAUAAUCCCACCAGAAUUUCCUGGUGUCCCUGCCCCCAAGUAGGCUUGUCCAGAGACACUUCAAAGGCAGGUGUGCAGGAUGCACCCCGUUUAGUGUUGCCGAAAUCACCUCAGGUGGCUACUUCCUUCCUGUGGUACAGGUGCAGUGGCUGUAUUCAAAUCUCCCUCCUGAUGAUAGAGCUCCUCACUCUGUCCAAGGAUAAGAUAAGCACUUAAUUAGAGGAAACUCUUUUUAGCUGUUUGCAUCUCAGUCUUUGUGGUUCGUAGGGCUGGGCAAUUAAUCAGAAAUGAAUCCUAACCAAAGUUCAGAACUGCUAACUGAGGUAAUCUUGUCUAUAUUGGUUGUUGAUUUUAUGAAUUUCUGUUAAAAGUAUAAUGAGGGUCAUGAGCUGUGAAGGAUAAAAGUAGGUAAUCUAGAGGCUAAAAUGUGAAAUGAUAAUAGUUUGUGUGUUGAAGUUGCCAUCAGCCAGUUUUUCUGUAUUAGAUACACAGUGUGAGCCAUGAGAGCUGUUUGUGUUUAUUUACAGGUAUGCAUUUUAAAUUGUGAAACAACAUUAGCCUCGCAUGCAUUUUUUAAAAUUCAGUUUGCCACUUGUAACUUUUGUUCUGUAACUUCAUGUUAAAUUCAGCUAUCAGUGUGAAGUUGGAAGCAUCUUUCACUGCAAAUUAGCUGGCUGAGGUGCCCAGCUUGGGGGUUUUCGUAGUACAUGAGGUCUCCUCAAGCUUGUUUUGGGGAUACUCAAAAGCCACCAGACACAGAGAUUGAAAACGUUUUACCAGGACAUUACCCCAUCUUUGGACACAAUGUCUAAAGACCAGUAAAGAGUCAAUGUGAAAGGAGAUUUCUGAGACUGGCAAAGCUAACGCAUAUCUGCCACCAACACUGUGCCUCCUCAGCUCGUGUUUUCUGCCACCAGAAUCAGUUUGACCCCUAUGAGCUCCUGACUGACACCGUCCAUGUGUCCAUGCUCAACUUAUCAAUAAGAACAAGUAUGCAGAAAACUGAACACUGGGAGUCAGUGAUGCUUCUCUGUCCAGUUUCUUUGCUGGAGCAUUUUUAGGUUUUGUUGUUUGAGACUUACUCUGUAUGAUGGUAUGUUGUACUGAUUAUUAUAAAUAUAUAUGAUUUGGGGAAAUUUGUUAUUCCUUUUUUCAUAGGAAAAUUUUAAAUUUGUCAUUGAUUAAUUGAUCACUGAUCAUUAAGGUUUCUGAAGAUAGAUGGGUAAUAAAACGGCAUCCCUAUUCUGAGGAUUUAUCCUAAGAACAGAGCAGUUUUUAAACAUACUAUGAUUAGUACAAACUGAAUAAUCAGAACAUUGUUGCUGUUGUCUUUGCAUGGUAAUACUUUGUAAUGAUGAGAUCAGAAGUCGCCCUAGGCUCCUCUCCCAUGCAGGUGUAAGUGAGAGUUGCCGUGGUUACAUCCAUGGUCUGUGUCUGGAGCUGAAAGGGAUCCUCUCUUUAUUGCAUGGACUGUGCUCUCUGAUAUUAUGUGUCAUAGAAAUGAAUCACAGUCUGAAUGAUGAUCAUAGGGUUACACUCUAACCUUGGUUCUGUGAGUGAAGAGACAAUCUUUCAAGCUUGCACAUGUGAUGGAGAGGAAGUUGAUAGAGAACAAGUUUUGGGGAUUUUGUUUGACCUGUGUUGUAAAUGCACAAAAUGAACAUUUGAGUCAUGUAGUUCAAGGCUGUGUAUUCACAGCCUUCAACUAUAGAAAUCAUGAAUUGUGAGCUAUAGCUGACCAGGAAAAACAGAUAUGCUCAUUUCGUACAUGGUUUUACAUUACCUGAAAAAAUCUGAAUGUGUGUUAUUGUGUGUUUCAGUUGUGGGGGGCAAUCUUUUUUGUGGUACCAAUCACAUCCUUGAUAAAGAGUUGAUCUGUACGUUCCCUUCUUUGUUCUUUAAAAAAGAAAAGCACACAAAUAAGAUGUAUGCUAUUUUAUCAGAAACAAUUAUCCCAGCUUUAAUUGUUGAUUUGGAACAAACCUUGUAAAGGAACUAUGAGGGCAAAAAAGUCAAAAACAAAAAAAUAAAUUCAUUGAUCAUAUUUGAGGUAAAAUGUUCAAUUAAUCAUGAUAUUGAUUUCAGGCCAGUUUAGGUUUUCAGCCCAAAGCUUCAGACCAAAGGUGAGGGUUGUAACUUAGAUUUUCUGAUACCACAAGAAGCCUUCCUUCCAGGUGAGCUCACUCAGACAGAACAAGAAAGACUUUAACUUUGUAAUAUGAUAUUUGAAAUGUUAUUCAAUGAAGCAUAGGUAUCAUUCUCUCUUAAUUAUAGUCUCUUCUUCACUAACAACCCAGGAUGAACAGAGCCAGAUGAGUUCAAAGGAUAAUUAAUAGUCUUUGAGCUUCAUGAAUAUGUUUUGCCGUCACUGAACUGAAGAGCUCAAAACAACCAUUGAUAAAGAAAUGUACGGUCAGCUUAUACAGCCUAAUGAAGUGAUAUUAGCGCCAUUUUGAGCACUGUGUCUUGCUGAGUUAAUUUAUCCAGUGUCUUUUAACAUAAUGUGUUAAAGUGCAACGUCUAAAUUCCGUCUAAAAAUAUACAGAAUCUAGACGGUUGAAAUUAGGUCUAAAAAAUAACUAGACGUCUAUUGUUCAGUGGGCAUCGCUUUAUAGCGCCCUUUAGGAAAACAAAUCAUUACUCUAAAUCUUUCAUUGCUUCUGCCAUCAGGCCUAGAACCUUGACAGUCAUCACUCGAAGUGGCCACAUAGGUGCAAAGUGCGAGAGCACUUAUUAUCUAUCGUCUCUGACAUGUACCUGUCUGACUUUGUUUGUAAAUGUUCUGUAUGCAGAGUCUGAGUUGACUGCUGAAACCUAAAUUGCCCCUUUGGGAUUGAUAAAGUUGUCAAAACUGAACUGAGCAACAAUAUAACAAGGGUGUUUCAUAGUGUUGCAACAAUGUGAAAGAACACGUCAUUAUGUUUAAAGAUACAGUGUAAGCUUUGAAUGCUCACACACUGUGAUACACAUGCUUUGGGGGAACAUUAAAAUAGGUCUCUGCUAUGGUUAGUGCUCCUGGAAAUAAUGACCAAUAUCAUUAUUACACCCACAUAAGCAUCUGGCUUCCAAUAACUGGGCUGCCAAACCUGAGAAUGUUAAAAAUGUGUGACUUUUGUUUCAGAAGACAAGGCGGGGUCAGAAGAUGGAGGUACUUGACAGUAUUACUGAAUGUGUAGACUUAUUUAAAACAAAAUGUGUUGGUACAGAAGUAGCUGGAAAAAAUAUUGACAAAAAAAAGUGAUGGGGGUUGUUUUGAAGAGAAGCAUGUUUCAGGCUGUGCAUGCUUCACAUUCUUAGCUGCUGACCUCCAUGGAAAAUAACAACAGCCGGGCUUGAAGGUCAUCUUGCAGUGACCAGUGGCUGAGGCUGAGCAGUCAGUGGUACCAAACUAGAUGUUUGUAAGCCCAGUGAUCUUCUGCCCUGCUACGUAUAUGUUGAGGGUGGGGGGGUGACGUGAUGAUCAUGAAACAGCGUGAGCGUAUGGUCAUUCGAUGGUAGUAAUCCUCAUGUUCCAAUAAUCAAAGUACUUAUGAACCAUUUAUUCAGUACACGCAAAUUAUACGUAUUUUAUCAGUCGGCUGAUCAUCAGUAUUGCUUGUCGAAAGGACAGCAGCUUUCUAUUCCCUGUUAUGAAUGUAAUGACAAGUAAUCAUGGUAAUGUACGACUCCGUGGAUAGACCUGUCCAUGAGUCUGUGGUGACAACCACUUUGUCAACACUCUAAGGCAGUCCCCGAUCCGGCUGCACUUUCAGUUUUUUCCCCCUUUUCUCGUAGUUGUCUGCAGAGAUAGUGGCUUGAACUCCGGCUCAACAAAUGCCAACAACUUACAGAAGCCUUCCCCUCUCACAAAACUCAGUCAGGUUAUCAUCACACCGGCGUCCAGUAACAGCACUAGCAAAUGCUGUGAUGCGAGACUUAGAGUGCAUGUGGUUAAGGAUCCAGCUAGUAUUUCUAUGGUUUCUUUUUUUGUCAAAAUACUUUUGGAUGUCAGUUUUCACACAAUGCAUGCACAAGUAGUGUAACGAUACUCGAAUAACGACGGUAACCAUAAGUUCUUGAGUAAUCGAGUAUUCGUCUCCAUCCUUAUAAUACACACACCAGUGCUGGUGCUCGUUUUAUGUACAGAUUCAGCUGUGCUGGAGGCCUGUCACCACACACACACACACACACACACACACACACACACACACACACACACACACACACACACACACACACACACACACACACACACACACACCAUCAGGGUUAAUGAAUAUCAUUGCAAACAGUGCAUAUUGAGUGCCUUUGAACCAGUGAAUUCAUGUAUGGAUUAGUUUUGUGCUUUGUGUUAAGACAGGGGGGUAAAGAUAACUGGUCUGAACCUGCUCUUUUCUCUGAGGUCGGACAGCCCCUCAUAAAAAAAACGACUCUAAUAAACUAACUCCUGGUGUGCCUGCCAGACCACACGCUUGCUGUCGGCUGUAAAAUAUGACCAGGCUGCUUCCCCUUUUUCUCUUCUCACUCUUUGCCCUUUUGACCCCUUCUCAUCUCCUCUUUUUUCUCGCUCUACCUCUUUCCCCGUGUCUUUUCCUUUUCUGUCUGUUCCUGUUUGCACUUCCCCUGCUUUUGUCAGCCACUGCUUUUCCGUAUUUGUCUAGUUAAAGAAGUAUGGAUUAUUUGAUGUGACAAGAAUAAUGUAAGAGUUAAAUAGAUACCAGACUUUUGUUUGUUUUGGUACCUAUUCAACAAUUCACCUGUUUGAUGAUGCCUAAAGUGAAACUUGUCUUUGCUGUCCAUACAAAGAGAAAGCAGAGAUUGUACUAAACUUUUAUGAUUUCCUGAGCCUUUGCAAAGCUAAAUCCAGUAAUUUGAAGCAGCAAGUGAGUUACACGGUUCCAGCAAAGCAUAUGAAUUAUAAAAUUCAUACACAUGUUUAAAUCAAUGUGUAAUCACUAAGUUGUCAAAGUAGUUUUGUUUUUGUUAACUUAUAAUGAGCCUUUUGUAUCGAUACAGGAGCACGUUUCUGUCCAUGGAGACAACCCUCCUGUUCUGACAUGUUUCUACAGCAGGGCAAAACAAACUGGAAACAAAUACUUUUUGUAUUAAGUGAGUGGAAAUUAACCAGUUGAAAGACAGAAGAAGUUGUUUGUAUUGUGAGUUGUAUUGGAAGUUGUUUCUGAUGGUAAAAACUUGACAAAUGAAGGAGCAAACUUGUCAUGCAUCAUGGGAGUUCCUUGUCCUUGAGGGCCAAUGUCGUUUCACCUACAGAAGGGGUGAACAGGUGAGCAUUUAUAUCUCUGACCAAUAGAUAUUGCUAGAUAUUCCCUUUUCUACAGAUAUUACUUUUAAUUUGAAAAACCUACCACCUUUUCAAAAAACAAAAACUUGUAUCCAUGCUUUGAAAGCUCAGCUCCCCCUAAGCCUAACUCGUGAAAUUUUUUGUUUGGAAAAAUGUAAAUAUGUUCCAUUUAGUGAUUUUUCCAGAAUGCGAAAAAAACAACCAAAAAAACCAACAUAUUUUUAGGGAUAAAACCCAGCAUGUGAUGUUGCAUGAAGCAGACAUAAGUUGUCUUGACAAACAGGCCUGUGUGUUUCUGUUUGCUGAACAGAUAUAUAUAAUCGCUGGAGUCGAGGAUGGCUUCGUACCAGCUGGAUCUUUUUCCUCUCUGAAGGGCCUCACUCUGUCAGUCUCAGUAACCUGGGGGUUGUUUCUUAGAAAUCUGGCUUUUGACCAGAGGACUGGACCAAAAAAAAACAAAAAAAAAACAACAUACUGAGAGGGAUUAGGAGUGUGGAAGAGCUUCUAAAAUUACAGCCCUCAGAACAUAUCCAGAUGUUGCUGUCCUGAUUCUCCCCAGGUAACACACAUGACAGAGUCGCAGUGUGGAGGGGCCAAAAGUGGAGAGAGUGGCUCUUGUAGAGCAACCCCGAUCCCCAAUUUUAUUAGUUUUUUUUUGGUCCUCCUGGACUCCAGCUGGUGAUAUCAACCUGCCACAGAGACAGAGGCUCUAACAGUGUGAGUUAGUGUGAAGCAGUUGGGCUCUGUGUCUGCUGCUGAUCACAUACUGAACCAGUGAGAAAUGCACAGCAGUAUGAGCUACUGUGCAAAGGGCUUGUUAACUGUUACACACCCAUCUGACAUCUUCACGAUGUUUGAUCUUUGAAGUCAUGAGUUCAUGCUUUCAGAGAGACAAAUGUACAUUUUCUUACAAAGCCAAGAGGCUUUAACCUUUGCUUUAGAUCUGAUGUGUUUGAAAAACGUGGAACUGAAGUACUCUGGGGGAAGCAACAUCAGUUAUCUUAAUCUUUAGAAAAAAUGGAUCGUCAAAAGAGGGUACAAAUUUUACAGUUCAGUCCAGUUCACAGGUCAAGAGUCAGUUAAGUUCAUGGAGCUUAGCCGGGAUUUAAACUGUUAUUUGUAAAGACCAUUUCUGUAUUGCUUUUGCUUUUCGGAUAAGCGGAAAGAAAUUGUAUUCUGAUCGAGAGGGGUGGUUCAUGCGAUCAUUAUUCUGAAAUCUGUCCAUGUAUACACUCAUUCCGAUCGUGACUCUCUGUUGGGGCAAAACUAAUCUGACUGCACUUGUGUUCCCAAAGUCAGCGUGACACAGUCCACUGUUAGUGACAAGACGUAAACAUUGCGGGAUCCAAGAGUGAUUGGUCUGUGUCUGACACAACUUUCUUGCUAGAUACAGUCUCCUCAUGUAACGCAGGAUCAGUAUGUGCUGCUGGACCCGCUUGAUGAUCAUGUAUGCUAGGAGCAAUAUAACUACUCAGAACCUGGCUCGGGUCCAUUCUGAGCAGAGGGAAAAAUCCUGAAUUAGAUGGAGUGGGACAACAUCGCGUUUGUUGGUUUGUUGACAGCACAGGUGUAAAUACAACUCUUCUGCAGUUGUUUUAGCGAAAUUAGACAAUUACACAUGUCCAAAUGCUUCUAAUCUGAAUAAAGCUUGGUGCAUGUAUUUUGCGCCUAUAUAAACAGUGGAUUCAGGUUUUCUGAUCCCCCAGAUUUUUAAUUUAAUCAAGAAAUUUUGCACAUCUAAACGUGGCUUCUGAGUGUGCCGGUGUUUCAGUUAUGGGCACUGCAGAUGAUGUGAAAUGUUCCUGUACUUGUUUUACUACUCUGCUCAUGUUUUGGGAUUUUUACCAAGCAUAAUUACUGUUCCUGCUCUCACUGUGACUGUUGCGCAUCCAUGAGUGGAGUCAUGCAUUGUCUCUGACCAGUUGUCCUUAUGUCUCUUUUCUUGGUUACAUGGUGAAUUUGAAAAACUUUGAUAUGCACAUUGUGCAAGCAUCAUCAGGUUGCUGCCUCUGAUGUUUCUCUGUGCCUGUAGUGACCCCUGUAUUCUUUUAUUUUACAAUUCCUUUGCAUCUGUCUCUUCUCACAGCAUGGACAGGCAGGGCCAAGACAGACAGGCAUCUAUCUCAUGCACGUAUCAGUUUCAAGCAGAGGCGAAACAUGAAAAGCCAGUGAUGAUUAAUUUUUCAUUCAUCUGUGGAUCACGCAUAGGCUGUGAUCAGCUGGGUGGCCUGAAACAGAUCGACUGAUUCGUCACUCCACAAAUUGCAAGAGAAUGGGUGCAUCUAAAUUUUGAGAUAUGACAAAAUAAAUCAGUGUUCAAACAGAGUGUCAAACAGUUGAUAUACAGUGAUACUACUGCCUAGCAUCUGUGACUGGCAGCAGGGGACAGAGAGUGAUAUAAAUGAUGUUUCUCCCACACAGAUUAUGUCAAAAAAAAAAUAAAACAAACAAACAUAAACAAUAAAACCUUCUCAGUCCCCCCUUCCGUCUUCUGGGUCCUAGUUUAGUUAAUUCUCCAGUCAGAGUACAAGUCCCAGUCAUCACUGGUCAUGUCCAAGUCAAGUCAUGAGUACUGGACUUGAGCACUACAACACUCUGCAAAUGAACUCAAAAGGCCAUAAAUAGGCAAGGGCAGGCCUAUUAGUCUGUCUGAGGGUUAAUGCUGUGAAAUCACAAUGACACUUGUCGAGACUUUCUGCAAAUUUCUUGAAAUUUGGCGGUCAAAGGUCAAGGCUUCUGUAACCUGUCAGCAAAUAAAUACUCUUUGUCACCUCCCCACAAAUAUCUUAGAGUUGUUGGAUGAUAUGAAGGAUGGUAAUUCUUAUUUUGUUUUUACAAGGUCUGCUUCUCUUGAAAAAGGUUACAGAUGAAUUUUGGAAAUAAGUUUUAGAAACCACUCACAUGGAAAGUACUUAAGUGGUUGCAGUUAAUUUUCACCUCAGCCACAACUUUUUUUCUUGUUUUUAAGAACCUUUUCUCAACUGGUCUGGGGAAUGAGGUUAAAAAGUGAGUACACUCUGACCCAUAUUUUGAUCCCUGGCUUGUUGAAGUAGUGUGCAUUCAUUUAGAACUGUACAUCCAAACAAAAACACCUUACUGCCGCUCCAGUCCUGGUUUAUAACACCAAUAGCCAAGAGGAUAAUCAAUUUCAUCAGCUGAGAUUUGGCUUUGAAAGGAUUUACAUCUAUGAAAGUCAUGAGGAAAAACCAAAUACUGAUAUUUGCCUUUAAUGUGGAAGGUUUGUCUCAAGAGCAUGAGAUACAGAGGCAACAUCGGCGUCAUAGCAGUUCUUCCCAUUACUUUCCACACUGUUCUCAUGGUAAGCCUCUGCAUUGUGUCUAAUCCAUGAGUGGAAAUGCAGACCCUUUAAGCAAGUGGAAAGAAUGAUGCUCCAGUGUAUUGGAUGGACCUUGUGUGCAAUUUUUGAUGUGGCCAACAGUCAGAUGGGGACAAAGUUUCUACCACAAACGCUGAUAGGUCUUGCCUAGUUGCUCUUAUAUCCUCUAUUCAUAUUGAGAAGACAUGAUAUAUGGAUGUGAUAUGGAAAUACAUGGUGGUUACCAGAAAAAUGCAGUGUAUUUUACGUACUUAUAUGAUUAAGAUUUUGAUAUUCCCCUAUAAUAGUGAUAAUAACCUUUUUCUUUUUCCUUGUGCAAAAAGGAAUCACUCUGGGGUCCUGUUGUAGCCUGCAGGAUGAACAGGAAUAUGCUGUUAUAAUACAUGUCUCACAAGAAGUCAGCUCUGUGUGUUUUUACAGGAGGGGCUGCAUAAAAGUGAUAGUAGAUUGGUAGUGGACAUAAGAGAGAUUUACCUCCCCAUCACCCACGCAGACACAGAUAUGUAUGUGAAAAGUAGUGUAAUGAAGUAGUUUGUGAGUGACAACAACCAGACUGCAUCCUGGUCAGAGCAGAAUUACAGAAAUCUUAGAUCUCUACAUUUCUCAUCAGUUUAGAUGUUGGCAGCGAACAGUGCUGCUGAAUUUUAUUUCCAUUCGAACAGGCCUACCUGCUUAAAAGUGUACUUCAACUGAUGAUUUUGUUUUCUUCAGUCCAAACUGAUAAAGAGAAGUGGGCCGUUGAUGUUACUUCUCAAAGUACCAUCUGUUAUUCCCAACAAUCACCACUGAAUUAUGAGCUGCUCUAGCUAUGCUAAACUUUCUCAUUUCUAACAAACUCUUCACAGCAAAAGUCUUUUAGUUUUAUUGAAGUUUUUUUUAUUCUAAAACAGCCAUCUUAUAUAUUUCAGCAGUAACUCAAAACAACACAUUGUAUACAAAGGAGUAGGAGAGAAAUUAAUUUUACAUCACCGAGACUCGGUAAGAAACUACAAUGUCAAAAAUCAGACUCCCUGACUUGUUUUAGGAGGAGAGGGGUUUUAUUGAGUCAACAUAUGUUCACAUUAGUGAUUCCUAUACAUACUUCUGUACAUUUUCUUAAACCACAAUAAAAUUCCAUCAUCACAAAACCACUGCGCAUAUACACAUCAGGGUUUGGACUAGGGCUGGGCGAUAUGGCUGAUAACGAUAAAUGGACGAUAACUUUUCCACAAGCUGCUCACCUCCUCCCACAUUAACUUUGUCUACUUCAGCCGCUACAACUUUUGAACCGUCCUCCAUCUCCUCACCCGUCUUUCCUUCUAUGUUAUGGACUGGAUGGGGUGGAGUCACGUCUCUGACGUAGGACAGCGUCUUAAAGGGACAUGAGACCAUAGCCUACCUACACACAUCUAAAACCAAAUUUUCUUUAAUUUUUUGACACCGAAUAUACCGAUAUGGGCACAAUGAUGUCAGUUAUCGUCGUAAAUUUCGGUAUGGCUAAAUUUUCGAUUUAUCGCCCAUCCCUAGUUGGGAUGGUCAAAUAUAAAACAGCCCUUUUUUGUAACUAGCAGUAAUAAUUUUAUGAGCCCUUUAUCUGAAAUUGGACAAAUGUAUGACGCAUGUAUGUAAAUGUAUGAGAUGUAUGACAUUUAACAAAGAUUGUCUGCUGGAAAACAAAUUAAAAAAAUCAUAGUUUUACAGAAUACUGUCCUGCCAUCAGGAUAACCAGAGUUUUAUAAUUAGCUAUGGUUUCAUACAUGCAUAAUAAUGCUACAUCAGUCUUGCUUGAAAUCAAAAUCAACUUCAGAGUCACACAUUUGAUUGGAUUAUCGUUGCUAACCUUACUAAACCAGUGACAGAUACAGGUACAGACACUAGUCCAAAGAAAGUUCUGACCUCUGAUUAAGUCAUCUCAUCGUCACACCCACAGGCGUUUCCUGUGUGUCUGAGAGUUUGAUGCGUCAAGGUUGACAGUUGCCACAAGACAUUUAGCAGAGUGGCCAGCACCCAGCUCGUAAUAUUUUUCACAGACGUCUGGAUGUCACUGAGGGGCUUUUAAUGCAAUAAGCACAGGUUUCAUGCAGUGGCUCUUAUUUUAUUUGAUUAAAAUGAAGAAAAACAGACCUAUCAUCACAUCUGAAAGGAACAUUUUUUAUGUACUUGCCUGUCAUUAUAUCUGGGAUCAUAUAAAGUUGAAGUCGAGUAGAGUGGAUCAGUCUAGGCCUGGUGGAGCAUCGUUCCACAGCCCUCUGGUGGUGUGUGCUUUUCAUCUUCUUGACUCCCUGGUCAGUUGUCUGCUCUUUGGAAAGAACACAUUCCAGGGCCAUUAGGGCAGGGAUCGCUUUCAGCUGUAGGUGUAGUCUAUACACCCACUGUUCUUCAAAGGGAGGUCAAACCUUGACUGCCUUCUCCACUAGUUUCCACUGGUUUGCUGUCAGUGAAGUUGGGAGUUCUCCAUAGAAUAUUUUGUUUCCAGAUGAACUGAUUGUGUUAAAUGCAGCUCCACUGCUACCACAGAACAGUUAUAUCGCAUGUAUUGUUUGGUCGGACAGUUUUUUCUUUCUAGUUUUGAAUUUUUCCACACUGCUGACAUUUUAGCCCCAUGAGAGCUAAUGCUGAGUUACUCUUGCAUUUUGCUACAUUUGCUGAUCCCUGAUCAGUUUGAAAAACACCCUAAUCAACUCCGAUUGUACAGUUAAAGUCAGGAUUAUCCUUAUAUAUGCAGUAUAUAUAUAAUUUUUUAAAUCUAACCUUUAUUUAACCAGGUAAGAAACCCAUUGAGAUCGAGAUCUCUUUUACAAGGGUGACUUGGCCAAGAGGUCAGCAGAACACGUUACAAUGAUAAUAUUACAAUUCAGAGACAGAGAAUAUGCAGGUGUAGUUUGAUGAGGGGAGGUGGUUAUUCGGCUUGUUUACUAGGACCUAAGCCUCACACAUAGUGGUCUUGUGUGCUUGUGUUUGAUAUGGUGGGAUUCCUAUUUCAAAACAAAAAACACAAUCUAUGUUUUGAAAUUUUACAGUUUGUAAAUUACCACACAUUAGCUUCUCAUAUGCAUAAAGUGAGGUGUACUGAUAUCCUCUCUGGUCUCUAAGUGUAUGUAUUACAUUGUCUCCUGUCUGCUUAUGAAUAGUUUUGGUGUUCAAUUCUCACACCUGGCUUGACAUUUUCAUGGUUUUAUUUAUACUUUGCGGUACUUAUGUUACUCAUAUGUGCAUAAAUCCUUGCCCUCAUCAUCACUGUUUACGAACAGUAUAGCAUAACUCUAUUUCUUUUCUCUGUAAACAGUGAAAUUGUAAUGAGAAAAAGCGUGAAUAAGAGAGUCUCAUAAAAGUUUGAAAUGACGAGGCUCUUGCGUUUUCUGUUGCUACUGUGUAAACUGAGACUGAAUGCUUUGUUGACGUUUUCCUGAAAGUCAGGUCAGAAAAAAUGUAGCUUCUCGCUCUUUGUACCACCCGUCACAGUAGUGUCGCUGGUUUGUUGUUUUUCCCCUUCUUUGUUGAAGCUGGAAAUUCUGUAACUCACUAUUUUGUCAUGCAUAAAAAUCUGAAAGUACUUCAGAGAGAUGUUCCAAAUGCUUUCUUUGCCUCAGUAUUGUGCUGUUGUUGUAACUGUGUGAUUGACAGCAGUUGGCAUGCUGAUCUCUGGCAGGGGCACAGAGAGACAAUGAAAACAAACAAACCCUAACCCUGGGAACUGUGGCUAACAAGCCUUUGACAUGUUUUGUAAGAUAUUAUUAGCAGCUGUUUCCAUGAGUAAAGGCCACGUGCUAUUGGCUAAACAUAAAAAAAGAAAUACUAGAAAGUCUCAAGCUGUUGUUGUAAUUUUCAUGUACAAUGUGUUUGAUACUAUCUACAACAGUUUGAUACUGUUUAUCAGAAUAUCUCAACAAAUAUUGAUUAGGUUGAUGUGAAUUGCCCAAUGGACUAAGACUUUUGGCGUCCCUCACAGGAUGAACUGUAAUAACCUUUAAUCUUGUGAACUUGUAAUCUAUCACCAUCAAGAGCUCCAAGUGUCACUGUUGCAAUCAUUUAUCAAAGAUCUGCUAAAGUAAUGACAUUUUCAGCAGUCACAGGCAUCAUGAUAGUAAGCAGACACAUUAAAGGACAGGUAAACACUGUCAACUUACACCUGCUUCAUGUUAGUAGCAUUGCUUUUACUAAUUAGUUGUACUUAGAGUUUUGCAUAUCUGUGUCCUCUUACUCUGCAUCCUUUCAGAUUUUUUUUUUCUGUUGACAGUCUUCAUCUUACGAAGGAGUAUUAGGGCCAUAUUAAGAAAAAAAAAGACUUAAAGAUUAAAAUAAUUAAUUUACGAGAAUAAAAUAAUUACUUUCGAGAAUAAAGUCGUAAUAAAGUAAUUACUUGCAAGAAUAGAGUCGUAAUAAAAUCAUUAUGAUACUCAUGAUAAUGUUGUGCUGAUGUGCUAAAAGAUAAAGAAUCUCUUUGAUUGAGAAACCUUUAUUGAAGUAAAUUUUCAUGAAAUGCGCCAUGGCUUUUAUUUCAACAACUGUUAUCUGAAACAACAGGUCAGAAUAUGAGGACUUAAUUCUGACUUUAUUCUCAUAAGUAAUUACUUCGUUACGACUUUGUUCUCGUGAGGAAAUAUUUGAUUAUUACUUUAGUCUUGUAAGUAAUGAUUUAACUAAGACUUUUAGCUCAUAAGUAAUUACUUUAUUAUGACUUCAUUCUUGUUAGUAAUGACUGUAUUCCUGUUAGUAAUGACUUUAUUACGACUUCAUUCUUGUUAGUAAUGACUUUAUUUUUGUUAGUAAUGGCUUUAUUAGGACUUUAAUCUUGUUAGUUCUUGUAACUUAACAACUUUAAUCUCAAAGUCUUAUUUUUUUUUCUUAAUGUGGCCCUGAUACUCUGUUGUUUCAUCUUUCCUCUCAUUUUCAAUAAAGUACUUUGUCUUCUUGGGUUUGGGAACCACAGGACCUUGGGCUUUAUUUAUUUAUCAUCUGCAAACAGAAGUAUGAAAAUAUUUUUUAGUUGCUCUAAGUUGCUUUAAAUCCCCGGUAACGCAACAGUAACACACUUGAUUUUUGGAUUAGUUUGGUAUGAGUUGUAUUGAUUAGUUGUGCAUGCCAGUGACAAAGGGGACAAGAGACAAGUAUUUUUGACCUCUAGUCUCAAUGGCCCCAGUUAUGACAGCAAGACGCAGGUUGAAGAGUACCAGAGUCUGCCUUCAACAGUGCCACAUUGUGCCUGAUCAUUCACCUCUCACACUAUUUAGACUUAAUUGGCUGCAGCUGUUUCACCCUCUACAGAAGAUAGGUGCCUCCUGUUCUCUGUACUUUUCAUGCUGAGCUACAUACAUUGUGUGUAAAGAAAAUCUCAGCUUAUGUUUCUUUAUCGUCUUACAGAGGUAUAAUUGUCUGUGUAUGUGCAUUCUAGUUCUUCGUGCGAGUGUAAACAAACACUCAUGCUUUCACUCAUGCCCAUGCAAACUGUACCUGAUGAGCAGUAAAUGGAACGGAGUAGGGCCACCUGGUUCCUGUGUGUUUCGGAGAGCUUUACUUUUAGGGCGAGCCUUGCUACUUAGUUAAACAAAGGGCCUCCAUGUUGGUCCUCUAGAUAAACACACUUUCCUGAGAAAACACGGACACGGUUACACUUUAACCUGCCCAGGGAGGCCUCAGCUACAUCCUCCCGGACAGUUUAGGUCAGACCGGGCUACAGUUCAGACCCGCAGUGAGAAUCAUGCGCUGCACGUGAAACCAUGCUGGCCUGUCAAACAAUGGAGCCUUUGACAACCAUACCCCCCUUCCUCGUCUACAGUACAGUCAGAGUACUGUCUCUCCAGGGCUUGGGUGUCACUCCACAUCUCUGUUGUGCUCCCCUGGAGCUGACCAGCUGGCUUCUAGGCUCUGGGAUGUGAGAGCAGCAGCACAGAGGAGCUACAGUCAAAGUUCAAACCAGAUUAGCCCAGCAGAGGGGCCAGCAGUGACCCAACCCAGUCAAGUCCAGGCUAUUCCUGCAUAAAUAACUUGAUAAGCUGCGCCACUUGAGAGGAGGUUGAACCAGUCUUUUUUAGUCUGACCCUCCCUGGAUAAUCUCAGCUCUGGUCUGGCCCCACGGUCCCACCAAGGGAUGCUUGUGACUUUGACUUUGACUCCUUGGUAGGAGAGUUGAUGGUUUUACAUGCAACAAGGCGCCAAGGGUUCAGUGUCAAACUCAUGCAAAGAAAAACAGCAUUAUGUGAUGUAUAAAGUUAGUUUGAAUCUAUUUUUAUCAAUGAACUUAGAACCCAGAUUGAACACAUUUAUAAGCCUUGCAGCAAAGUUGUGAUAAACAGCUCUAGUUUUUGCAUCUACUAAAGGAAGUGUUUGGCCAAUAGUGACAAAUCCUUCUGCAUUUUUAGGCAUCACUGAAUUCAAUAUUCCAUAUACAAAAAAAAAAAAAAUUACAAGGUAUCUUCAUGAAGUUUAAUUAUAGUUCUGGGAGGCUUAUUUGUAUAAUGACAGUGUUGAAUGUCAUUAAUAAAAAUGUCAGUCGUACGUGGAUUACAGGUGCUGUCUGCUAUGUUUAGUUAAGUCUGAGUCUUAUCACAUGUUUUCGCUCACUAUCUCUGCGCAUGUUAAACACAAAAUGAAAGGAGUAAGUGAACAGCAUAUCACUCUGCCUAUAUUACUGGAUAAACAAAAGGUUUGACUGGUUAUGCAAGAAGGCAAGAAUCUUGUUUCUGCGCUGAAGUUGACUCUGAAGCUGUUGGAAGUGUAAAGAUAAGGAAAAUGAAGGGUCAAAUGAAGUUAAAAAGCUUCAACAUUUGAAACAAUGAAUAAAGGACUCUUAUCUCUAUGGUAGAUGAUGAACAUAAAUACAUGCAAUAAGUGUUAUCUGAUGGUGUAGUUAUGCAGAGCUGCCACCUCCCCCUCGGCACAGCGUCAGUCGUGUAAACACACAGCGCUCUGGAGGAAUGCUGGACUCUGUGACCUCCCGCCCCGAGUGCUGUUACAGUGCACUGAGUUCAGUGAAACAGCCCGCCCCAUGCUGCGCCUCCCCAAAGCUCCGCCUCACCCUAUCCCAGCCUGAGGCCCCACAGGGUGGAAAAAAACACACCUCCCUCACCCAACACCACCACAGCCUCCUCAAAUACACACACACACAUACACAAACAUGAACGGACAGACACACACAGACAUAAAGACAGACAAGUGCUCCCUUUCUUUACCCCCCAGCUGUCAGAGCUGUAUGUUCUUGUAGCUUCAACAACUUUGCCAUUUGAGGAUCUACUUGCAAGGUAGUUUAGCGUACUUCUCCCUUUUUCAAUUGUGUUAUCCGGCAGAGUGAAGACGAAUAAUAAAAACAGAAGUUCCAAACUUUAGUGAGCUCUUUAAAUUUUCAGUAAAAACUCAAAAUCACAUCCAAAUACUAUGAAACGUUGGAAGCCUGUUCUCUUUGUCAUGAGUAUCUGAAAUCUAUGAAUGAAAAGCACACAGAAAAAAACAGAAACAAGCUAGAUUAUUUUAUUUUUCUCAAGAAAUAAGCUCUGUCACUGACUCCAACUAAACAUCCAAUGCAUGUAGUUUGGUGGAGGCAUAGUAUAAGUAGGGUCAAGCAGACACUGCCCUCUGCUGGAGAAUGACUGAGGAGGGAGGGCAGCUGAACAUCGAAGAGAUGUGAGUUUGAUGAAGUCGCACACAAAGUAAUGAGGAACCCAUGCAAGGCAGAGACGGUGAAGUCCAGGACUGAUAGAAAUUCAAUGUAAUCUCUAAUAGCUGCACGCCAGCUGUAACCCCCUUCAGUGGAUUCUUUCAUUGAUCGCAGAGAAGGCACAGUAAAGCGAACAUCAGUGAUUACCACUCUGCUGCACCUCAUCAUAUUAAACACAAGGGGCCCUACACAUGUGUGCGAUACCCAUGGACACACACACACGCACGCACGUGUGCAGACUCACAUGCACACACAGGCACACAGUCACAGUUAGCUGUUGUCUGAGGAAACGAGGAGCUGUCUGGUGCCAUAGCAACCAAUGCGGAUAUCCCACCCUACCAGAGUGAGGGCGAAAAAAACAGAAAUGGCAGUGACAGAUUGACAAGACCCUAAUGAGAUCUUCCACACAGACACUAAUCUAUCUAUCUAUCUAUCUAUCUAUCUAUCUAUCUAUCUAUCUAUCUAUCUAUCUAUCUAUCUAUCUAUCUAUCUAUCUAUCUAUCUAUCUAUCUAUCUAUCUAUCUAUCUAUCUAUCUAUCUAUCUAUCUAUCUAUCUAUCUAUCUUGUCUGUCCAUCUGUCUGAGUAAUACUGUAUGUGUGUCUGUCUGCCACUCUAUCAGCUUGUCUGGCACUUUGUCACAGUGAGACUAAAUGGAGAAGUGGAAGCAUCAAAGUGCAGACGAUGGCGACAUCUGAGAAUUUGAGAAAACACAAUAUAAGAAACAGAAUAGCUGAGCGUGGGUGAGGGGAAGUGGGGAGAGCACAAACUGGUGGGGUCGGAGCGAUGAAAUGAGGCAAGAAGAAAAGACUCUGACUACUCUCUGGGGCAUGUCUGUCCAUCACAAGCCUGCAAACACAGACACUGCCGCAGUCUGCACCAGCCUGCCUUCUUCACCAGCGUGACUCCCAUUUGAACUGCAAUCUCAUAUGUAAUGCUAUUAUUCUGGCCCAUAUUCCAGGUUACAUAACACUCCAAGCCAAAUCCUGCCCUCAAUCUGUGAAAAAACAGCCACACUAGCUGUGAUAAAAAUAUAAGACUUAGUAUUACUUCUGAGGCACCAGAAUAAAACAGUCCAACAUUCCCAUAUCGUGUAAAGUCGGUGUUUUACUCAGGUAAUUGUUGCAUGUAUGCUCUGUUUACGGUUGUUUUUGUCUCUCAUAGGUGGCUGCUGGAGUUCAGAAGUGAAUGGAAAGAAGACACCAUGUACUAACUGGUAAGUUGAGACUUAAUCAAGCCUAAAUUCCCGCGGCUGGCCUGCAGGUGGAAGUCACACCCACUGCUGUGUUUGCUCAACACAGUACAAUACUAGCACCUACACCAAAACUCUCCACUCCCAUUUUUACCAAUCCUGUCUGCCAGGUUUUGGUGUGAUGUGGCAAUGCGACAUAAUAUUAAUACUCCCUCAACUUUUGCACCAAUCUGUGUAAGUGAGAACCUGUGUUUGUUUUUGUUUUCACCUCAUGAUCUUGAUGCUAUUUAUGUCGGUAGUAUUCGGCAAAAGACCUCACGGAGUGACUCACAGCACUGGUGUGACCUAUUUAUUUCUUUUCUUUUCUUUCUUUCUUUUUUUUUAUACCAUGGUGUCACUCUGAGGUCUAUGUGCAAUGCCAGCCUACUGUUGAGCUUUGAUGUGCUGCCCUGAAGUGAGCCCGGAGCUCGUCAGCGAGUCUGUUCAGUCAGAAAGGAUUCAAUUGAGACUUGUGAAGAGGCCAUGACUUUGACUUAUCUGCAAAAAAAAGUGGAUUAUAGCUUAAAAUUAACAUGUCUCUCUUCCUAUUAUGGAGUGGUAUGACCCCUUAUUCUGUGAUCAUCAUAAGACAGAUAACCCUCAGUGUAAACCCAAAUGAACAGCUUUUCAAAAUCCUUUUCCUUAAAAUACUUUAUCCUCGUAUGACCCAGUUUCAUCAUUUUGAUGCGACUUGCUCGGAUAAAUUUGCACAUUACAUUUGACUCAGUAAAUCACAAGCUAAGCACAGACGCUUUUGCCAUCCGUUGCACUCGACUAUCUGUGAAUGAAAUUCAAGGGUAGUGAGAGGCAUCCACUUGCUCCACUGUCCCCAUUCUGGCUCUCGGUUACCUGGGAUGGCCCUGGCUUCCUCCUCCUCCUCCCCCUCCUCUUCCUCCUCCUCCUCCUCCUACUGUUUUACGAGCACAGCCCCACCUGAUGCGCACAUCUGCUUGCCCACUCAUCUACGCCACAGCUUUGGUAGGUGGGUGAUUGGCGGGGGUGGAGUGGGGUCGGCGCAUCAGCCAAUCACAUGCAUAAUCGUGACAGCGUUGGAGUGAUUUGACACUUGUGUCUGGCCAAUCACAGAGCACUGCAGCAAAGAAAGCAGCAGUAGUUAGAAAAAAAAAAGAGUAAGUGCAGUAAGAAUUUAUUCAAAGGGGAAAUCUUUGCAAUGCUGUAUUUUUUCACAUUUUACGAGUCUCAGUGCUAUGUAUACGACUUUACCAACAAAAUUCGUGCAUAAUGACAAAACUCGAGUGAGAGCAUGUAAAAAGUGUUCAUCAGAAACACACAAGAUAUGCAAAUAUCCACUGGGUGUGAGGUGUCUCCUAGACUAUCAUCCAUUUUAUCUCCUUUUAUUCCAUCUUUUGAUUACUUCUCAGCUCACCUUGAUCUCAAACAGAUCUGUAUGAUCAUCUGGCACAAUAAAUAAGGAUAACAACCACACACAUUCAUCCAACAUCAGUGUGACAGCGUUUAGUUGUUGUUAGGAGAGGAACCAGAUGAUGCUACGGUUGAAAUAUUGACACAGUGGAACAUAAAAACAAACAUUGUAUGUCGUAUUGAAUGUACAAUCAAAAUAACUCUGUAAGCUGUGUGCCUUCUAGUGAAUUCACUUGCAUAUCUAUGAUGAUAUAAAAACUUUAAAUCAGAAAAUUGAAAUGGAUGUUUACUUUGUGCAGAGCAGUACCAGAAUUUUAGAUAAUGGUGCAGGUCAGGGGAAUUUUCAGUGCAUACUGUAUCCCUAAAAGAUUAAUUUUUCACCAUCCUUCCAUAAAUUACUAACUCUUUUGUUAAAGUAUGAUUUAGCAUGAAAAAAACUUUGGUGUAGAUUCUUGUUGUGGAUAAAAUCUUUCUAAGAAUGUUGCAGAUUUUUAGCAGAGAUAUGCUUCCCCUCACAAUGAAAUUACUAUUAUUUUUUUCUGUCAGCCUAAACUCAUUUUAGUUUAUUAAAAGAAUCAGCUUGUAUUCGUCAGGUCUGUUUACCACACAGUGGAAUAUUUUGUAUUUUGUCUUUAGUUUAGCACAGAAGAAACCUCUUUGGUUCCAGUAAAGGUAAACCGAUUCCAUCGUCUCUGUGGGAUGUUGCAGUGUUUGCUCGUUGAAUACAUUUCUUGAGUCAGGUGAAGGAGGUUUUUACAGCGGAAGCCAGUAUGUAUGAACAGUUUGAUCAGAUAGCACACAAGGUUAUUUUAUUAUGUUUUUCGAAAUUCAGCAGUAAAUGUUGAUGACGAUUUUAUAGAUUCACAGAGAGAAAGAGAGAGGCAUCACUGAGAUUCUUACCAUUUUCACAAGACACGACAAGAAUUUAUCUUCUUUAGAUUGACAUGGUCAUGGCCAUUUGACUGAACUGCCUUUUCACUUCACAGUUGAAUUCAGAGAAAUGAUUCAUGAAAGUAAAGCCAACACAACUAUGUCUGUAUACAGAAGAAAGAUCCCUCAUAUUAAUAAGAGAAUAAGGAUAUUAUAGGUGUGUGACUGGUGUUUACUAUCUGGUUUGAUGCCAUUCAAAUGUGUCUCUCGGUGAUCUUUAAUAUUGUGUAACAGUUCUGUGAAUGUCCUGAUUUGUUGAUGUGUUUUUCUUGGACAAUUAUUUAAUCUUGGUCAGUGAGGCUUGACUGAAAAAUGAUGAUUCUAUACUUGGUCUAAAUCCUGCUCAGUCUGCAGUUGAGUCUGACAGUCCACUGUGGUGUUAUCAUAAUUAAGCUUUCAGAAAUGUGAUUGAAGGGCGCAUCGUAUAUUGUCCUCUCACUGUGGAGAGAGAGACUGUAGACCAUGUCUGUCUGUGUGCGUGUGUGUGUGUCCCUCCCUCACAGCCCUCACAGCCUUACAGCCUCACACACACAUGACUCACAUUGUAAUGAGUGUGUGUGUGUGUGUGUGUGUUCUCACUUGUACGUCUGCUCUGGAAAGGCUAAGCAGCGCAGGCUGAAGUGCAGACUUGGGUGGAUCUGUGUCUGUGGACCUCUCCACUGCACAAGAUGAUGACAAAGAGGUUUGUGCUGGACUGUUAUACAUCAAGAGUGUGUGUGUGUGUUUGUGGUUGUGGUCAAGGAUGUGAUUCAUUGAGAGUUUGUCUCAUGUGUUCACUACAAGAGAAAGUGCAACUGAGUCAUCAGACGGACACAAUCGUUCAGGAAACCGCAGGAGUGUCUCCACACUCUGUUGGCGUAAGCACGCACACACAUUCAUGCACACACAGUCACACAGCGGAGUUUCUUGAUUGAUGAAAUUAGGUCUUUUUUUCCUGCUCGGUAUGACUUCGCAAUGUUCGGAAUGACGCCCCUGAUGGUUGUGGAAAGACACACCUUACAGAGAUUUUUGAUUCAUAGCUUUGAGAAAAAAGCAGAAGAGAGACACAGACAGGGUUGAGUCACUUCUCUGAACUACUGACCCACAGUUGAAGAGGAGGACAGGGAAACUAAUCUAGUCAAAUCGUGAACGAAGGGAUGUAAUGAAAGACAAAUAUCCCAAAUUUGAUGUGUCUUACCUUUUGAUCCUUCAAGACUUUCACCAAUUAUUUUAUUGAAUUACUAUCAUGGAUGAUUGUCAAAGUCAACCGCUCUGAGGUAAAAUAUGUGUGUAACCAGUCUGCAUUGACACACAGAUGUUCCACUGAUUAAUUGAUUAGGUGGUAACUUUAAGAAAUUAGGUUCAGGAUUGUAUAGAUGUUGUGGUGUUAUUUCUGUUUACAAUCAUUUAUAGUGUGAUCAUUAAACAGGAAGAUAUCUGCUCUGAAUAACAGGGGUAAGAGCGUUGUGUUGAUAAAGUUACCUUUUUGUAAUCUAUGGUAGAAAGAGGGUCGGCUGAGUUGCAUAUUUUUUCAUCCACAACUAUUAUCUUUGAUCGCUGCGAUCAGUUUGUGCACAUCCUCAUGAAUCUGUUUACCUUUUUUGGCUCAAUAAAAAGUCAAAUAUACUUCUUUGAGAUUUGAGUGACCUUUUUUGGUUAAAUAGGUCCAACCUCAGCCUCUCAGAAGCUUAUUGUUCUCUACAAGUUAGCUUUGAUUUAUUAUUGAAUAUAUACUAACUUGGAGUGAUGUCUUGUCACUGGAAAUGAAGACAAUCAUGUUUGUCAUAAAAAACUGGAUGACAGAGACAAACAUUAGUCGCUCAUUUGGAUUGGAUUUCAUGGAUUUACUUUUAGCCUUACAUAAAUGUUUGACCUCUUAAAGGGACAUUUCUUCUUUUUUAAUGAGGGUUGUAUUCGGAACUUGUCAAUAAUUUCCUCAGUAAUUGUAUCACCCAUCAGGGAUGCCGGUUAAGUCGGGCCCUUUUGUUGAGCAAGUUCCUGGAGAACUGGAACGGAAGCUGGCUAUCAGCUGCAGAACAAAGGGGCCAGCUCGACUAUGUAAUUUAGCUAAUUUUAACGAACUCCAGCCAAAGCACGGUUCUGGUGUAAGUGAACACUGUUUGGAAACUUUUAGCAUUUUACUCUGCAGUCAGAAGACCCAUCUGUUUUUGCACAUUUACGGAUGUGACACGUCUUCUUUUGCCUGCAUCCCAUUGAUCGGCCAGACAGUGUUAUAAUAUAGGAUUUGAUUUGAUUUAUUUUGGAUCCACCAUUAGUUACAACAAGAUAUGCAGUAACUGUUCCUCCUGGGGUCCUUAUCUUCUUUUCCAUUUUCCAUCUGAGCUUAGACAUAUACUUUGAAAAAAAAGUGAAGAAACAAAAAAGAAAAACAGAACUUAUCUUAGGGAUAACAAAAAAAAUCAUAUAAUACGAUUUUUUUAUAUCUCUAUAUCAAUAUCUUAGUCUGACAUUAUUUUACGCCACAGGAAGAUUACUGAAUGUAAAGAUUUGAUGUUAUUUAGAAUUCAAGCAAAAAAAGACGGGUUUAGGAUCCUGUGGCGUCUUCAGGGUGGUCAAAACCCACCACCACGACCACAGAACAAGUUGAAUUUAAAAAAUAACCAUCAAUAUAAAGACUCAAACAAAAUGUGUCAUUUAUCUUUCCCAAGAAAACAAACAAAAAAUGAAGAGAAGCAGCCCUGUUCCCCCCACAGACUGCAGAAAGAGAAAAUCAUUGGCAUGGAUGUCAGUUUCUCUGAGUAAUGCAGUGUUGCUGAUUGAAAAGAGAGAGAUAUGAUUUAAAGUUGACUGUCAUCCAGGAGCACCUGCACAACCUGCUAUCGAGAUGACCAAUUAACUGUCAGUUAAUGCCUCUUUGUGCAUACUUUACAAGCACACACACGCACUCGAACACCUGCUGCAAGUCAUGCAUAUUGAGUUAGACUGACAAUGCAGAUCAUGUAUGAAUUGCACAACAUCACACAGUAAAGAAAGUAGAUUUUCCUUUUAAGCUCAAGCAGUCCAGUCCAAAUUAGGGAAAUAACCCUGUUCAUUGCUUUUACAGUAAUAACUACGUUUUCUGUUGUUUAGAUAAGGGGUCAGGAAUAAUGAAGAUUUAUUAUAAUACAGGUGGCUUUAAUCCUAGUCCUUUCUUGAGUCGACCUUUUUCUGAAUAAACUGUUAUACUGCGACAGAAAGCUGCACGAUUUAGUUACCACUUGUUUGUUGAGUCUCGUUUUUUUUUUUUCAGACUAAUUGCAGCCGUCUCCUCGAUUCAGAUCACUGCCUGUCCUUUCCCUCCCCUGCAAGCAGACGCGUGUAACGGUCUGGUAAUGUGUGUGUAAUGUUUGGCAUUUUCCAAACCGGAGUGCUCCGCUAUUUGUUUAUUAAAAUGUCUCAGUGACGCAGCUUCCAGAGUGCGACGUCCAGAAUGAAAAGGAGUAACUUGUCAGAGGUUUGAGGCGUGACCACAGACUGCAGACGUUGAGAGGAGGCUGUGUCUGUGACAUCACCCCCUGGUGUCUGAAGGGAGGGUUUCAGACUUUCAUUUGGGCUGGGCAAUAGGGAUGCAGUCUGCCGUGGCAAACAAGAGUUAACUCAAAUCACUGACUGUGAGAGGCUCAGAGGCCUGUCAGUUAAGACUCCCCAGAGCUUGCCAAGAAUUUUUAUCUUCGCUUCCUCUUUUGAUAUUGAGAAUCUCCUGAUAACAGGUCUGGUUUGGUAUAUACGGUUUCUGUGAGGUUUUUUUUUUGCCAGGUAUGAAACAGACAAAACAAAAACUGAUGCCUCUGUAUGAAGUACAAAAGGACAUGAAACCACCAGGAAUAAGGCUGACCAUAUAGGUAAAAGCAUGUAUUAACUAUUAGACUAUUUAUUGGAAUACUUUUUAAUAUAUUUCUAUCUUUAUAUUUGACAAAGUACAGUACAGAAGUAUUUUUAUAUUGUCUAUUCUGUAUUGUCCAAGUUGUUUGUUUUUUUGUGGGACAGUGUAUGAAUUUGUGUAUGGCUGUUGUCUUUGUGUAUGUUUUUUAAACUCACUGUAAAUGAAUUUCCUUACAAGGAAAAUAAAUUCAACCUUACCUAACCUUAAAGAUGAUGAAAUAAAUCUGAAUAGGCUUAACAUUAAUUUGACGAGGUCAAUGUUUACCCCAUUGAUGGAUCAAUCCAAACUUAGAGCUAUAACAUUUUACACAACAGAGAUUCCCAGAAAGUAAUAUAUUAAUCUCGUCGAAAUAUUGCUCCAAGAAAAAAAUAUUGGAUGCUCCAUGUGUAGAGACUCUUGUUUACAGUUAGGCAGCUUUUCGCAUGCUGUUUUGCACUCUCUGAAUAAAUGCAUAAAAGCCAGACAAAGUUAAAAUUGAUGCCAGCUACAAGUUUUAAAAGAAGUUAGAACAGGAGCAACAAAACACAAGUUCCCUGACCAGGUAUUAAAAAAGGAAAUCAAGAAAGGUGAAGUCUCUCAGAAGUAAAAAUGGGAAUAGGUCAUUAGAGGGAUAUUCCGGCGUAAAAUAAUUUAGGGUCAAACACACCCUAACACUGAGUUAGAACCCCCCCGAAUGUUGCCGACCGCUUGCUUCUCUAGUUAUACCAACUUAAGUAAUGACUGCACGAUAGCAAUACACAGCGGUCUGAGGAGCCACACACAAACCUUAUCCAAAACGCCACUCUAUAGCCACAAAUAAUGCUCAGAACAGCACCUAACUUCACCUAACCACCUAACCAAACAUCUUUUUAACUUUGCCUGAUUUCUUUAGCAAAGAGACUAAAUACAACUCACCUACUCUCUUCCAGCUGCCGCUUGUUUGUAGCGAGACCUCGGACCAGUCCAUUAUGGACUGCUGCGGGGUGAUGCAGCUGAUUUAAGAUGGUCCACAGAAUGAGGAGUAGUCCUUCACCAAAGGGGCAAGGCUGGGAACUGAUACAAAUACUGGUACUGAAUGGCCAUGAUCUUUAGGUCCUCAGAUAGCACUCCAUUAAAACAGCCAUGGCUUUGUCGUAAAAUUCACUGCAUGACUAAAAACCACGCUUAGAUACCAUUCUCUUUAAAGACAGUUUGUUGCUGCAUCCAAAACCUGUGCCAUGCAAAAAGGAAACCAUGUAUAAAAACAAUCAAAAGCACCAACCAUUGAGAUGCACUUGGGCCAAAUGGAAGACUGCCCUGUGUUUUGACAUUUAUAAAAUUGAAGUUUUAUAUUGCUGUAUUUUUUGUCUUAAAGACGAGGGGAACCACCCAGCUUGUUAUCAACAUACAGUCCAAAAGCUAGCAUCCAUGAUGGCACAAGUGCCCAUGGCAUAGGUAGCUAACACUUCUGUAAUCAGCACUUAACAGGUUUGAAGGCUUCAUAUGCUGCAAUGAGUUUUUCAGGAAAGACCUCUCAUAUUUCAGUAAGAGCACUUCAAACCCCAUUCUGCACGUAUAACACAACAUGGCUCUACAGCAUAACAGUCAGGGGGACAAGUCAGGUGACCUGACUUGUCAUCCUUUCAAAACAUUUGGCUUAACAUGACACAGAAACUACUAUGGAGAGGACCACAUACUGUUUAUCAGCUGACAUCUUAAAUCAGGCAAGAAUGAGUCAGCAUCUCACUUUUAUAGCUCUAUACUCUGGUCUCCUACAUUCCUAAAUGUUUACAAUAUUGUGAAAAAGUAGAAGAGAUGAUCCAAUACAACGGCCAACAUGUUUGUCUCCAAAUUUCCUUGAAUCUCAGUGUUGAGACCAAAUUUAAAAUGAGAAUGCAUUUUUUCAUAAAGGAGUAAGUAAGUUUUCUGUUUUAACAUUUGACUUGUUGUCUUUUUACAAAAUGAAAUGAAACGAAGGUUUGAAUGAUAAGCAAACAAUCAAAAACAGUUUUUAAUCAACAUUUUAAACUGAGUCUCAGCUUUGCUGAAGUUGAGGUUGUAUCAUUUUUGGUCAUUCUGCAUUUAUUUAAUGGCAAAAGCAGAGGAGGGACAGGAAGAGAGGGGGUGAUGUGCUGCAAAGGCAGUGAUAAAAAGCUUCACGCUCCACCAGGUGAGAGCUAUCCGGGUGCUCUUCUGCCCUGGAUACAAUCAUUAUAUUAUUUAUAAUACUUUACUACAGUGCUGUUGUCUGCUGCAAUUAGGUAAUACCAGGUUUUGACAUCCUAAAUACCCACAAUGAAUAAUUAUCACGUUAAAUAAAGUUAGUUUUGAGAACCUCUAUUAGCUCUGAUUUGGUACUGUAUCAUUUGAUCAGUAGUUGCCCAAAUUGCCCUUAAUUGUUUGUGGCUCAGUUGCACAAGCUCACUUGAUGAUUCUCAGAGACGUUUAUGCAAAUGAAGCUGUGGCACAAAUAUGCCCCCAGUAAUAAUACGAGAAGAGAACUAUGCCAAUGACUAGCAAUUGAAGCAUAAUUUACACACACAGAUGGAGGUCCUGCAGCAGUCAUCAUAGUUAAAAGGAGAACAUUCAGAAAGCAGUCUUAAAAGCAGUCUCAAAAGACCUGCACCUUUUCCUUUGCUCUGAUUACUAACAGAGUUCACGCCUGACUCUACGAGAAGUUUAUUCAGUAUGUUAGAUAGAUCCUCUCUUGAUGUCACUACCAUUUACAAGUUUAGUUUCUCUGUAUUUUUGCUUUGGCAAAUCUCUAUCUACUCAGGGUGGGAAUCACCAGUGACGAUACUAUCUUAUUACGAUAUUUGAUACACGAUACGAUAUUAUUGCAAUUUUUAACAUUUUGCAGUACAGUAAGUAUUUUGAUACAAUAUAUUGCGAUUUAUACAUUUCUUUUCAACUGUUUAGCUAAUUUAGCGUUUGUCUUUCCUUUAUGUUUGUCUGAUUUACGCUGUAUUUUAUUUUCAUGUCGUACAUCUUGCAAACCUUUGGUCGUGUUCACACCUAAAGGUCCAUUUCCUGAUUCGAAUCCAAGGCAAGACGAUACAUUUGUUUUGAUUGGUUAACUGGUCCUGUUUGCGUUCACAAAGGACAAAUUCAAUCGCUCCAGAAAAUGGAACCGUAAGUCACGUGACCGCGAAUAUCGUUCGGCUAUUGGUCAUUACUUUAUGCUGGAAUACAAACCCCGCUCUGCUGUCUUCACCUGUCAUGGAGCAUCGUAGACUGAUUUUGCUUUUGCUACUCAUCUGGAGUGUGUAUCAGAAGACGCUAGUCGAUCGCACGAAUGAACGGCUCGUUAGCCAGCGAGCGUGAACUGCAACAUUAAUUGAUACAUUCCGGAGUAGACAUGCUGCAAACAACAGACGGAUAAAGACGAGACGGCGACAGGCAUUAAUUAUGUGUGUGGUGCGUUUCCUGUGAUUGGUGUGGAUGACAUUCACACCAGAAAUGAACCGCUCCAGAGUUCACUUGAAAGCGGUCCGAGACCACCUCUUCAGGCGGACCAGAGUUUGUUUAUUUGGUACGCACCAGAGUUCGAGGUUAGCGUUCACACCGACCCAAACGAACCGCACCAAGGGGGUAAAUGGUCCAGGGUUCAGUUCAACCUGAGGGUGGUGUGAACGCGCCCUUAUUUGUUGCAGUAACUUUCUCCUGCUCUAUGAUGUCAUCUCUGCCGACCUCACAGUUGAAUUUAUUUUUCCAUUAUCAUAGAUUUGACUUCAUGUUUACAAUUAAUUUGAAAAAAAUCGAUACUUGGUAAAUGAGACGAUAUGAUUUAUCACCAGGCAAAAUAUCACAAUACUAUGCUGUGUCGAUUUUUUCUCCCACCCCUACUAUCUACAUUUCAAAUAAGGCUGUUAAAAACAAGGUACACUGUGCAAUAUUCUGCGACAGGAUUCCUUUAUUCUGUGCUGUAAAAUUGUUGAUUUUGAAACAGGUCAACCAACAUGAAAAUGUCUUUGAGAUGUCUUUGCAGACUAUGUCCUGUCAGCUGCAGUCUAUACAUUAAAUCAGCCUCUCUGUAAAGCCACUAGGAGUCUUGUGGCCAAGCACACCAUUAACUGUGGAAUUAGAAACCCUGAGAAGUUGUUAAUCACCGCAGUCAUUCACAUUCCACAUAGACUCUACUCUGCUCAGGACCUCCAUGAGCUGGGGAUGGGGCAUGGUCUGGGCCAAUGCUAUUGGACCCGAUGGUCUUUAAUUAGAGGGAGAGCUUGGCAGGGACUGAUGGAGGAGAAAGGCUCUCAGGAUGUGAGUCCAGGGUGAGAGGGUUCACACACAAAACACUGGCUUUUCAUCACCGCAUGACUCACUCAGUUUGUGUGUAAAGUGCAGUGUAUGUGUGGAUGUGUGUAAGGCAGAGAAAGUGAGAAAAAGUGUGUGUGUCCACUCGGUACUGUAUACAUGUGUGCGGACAAUGCUGCGCGUGCGUGUGUUUCUUACCUCACUGCUCAGGCAUUCCAGUAGAGAAAGUGGUGUGAAGAGAAAGAGCGGCUCUCACAGUGUGGGUAUUCAUGUCUGUGAACACUGGAGCCCAGUCCGGGCUCCAGUGUUCACAGACAAAGCCUCUCCAGCAGGACCCAGACACACUCACACAGAAAGGGAGCGACAUAAGCAGAGGGACACAGGAUUGGGGGAGACUAGGUAACAAGGGGGAGAAAACAGAGAAGGGGCGGGAGAGGGUAAAUAUGUGGCAGCUCCCUUUCAACUGUGAAUGCAGGUGUGAUGGUUUGUCAUCUAUACUGGACAAAGCAUCACACCUGCUCUGCACUGCAACGGUUUUGUCACCAAAAUGACCAGUUCAUUAAGUCACUGCCCUCAGACUAUGAAGUCCCAAAUUUCAGAGUUAGAGGGGAUAACUGUCACUCAGAUGUAUUGUUCUCUUUCCUCGAAGACAUAACAGCGUUGGAAGACACUUGCACAACCUGCUGCUUACCGCCAUCUUUAUAGUUUUUUUCUAGCGCUGUUGGCAGAGUUCAUAAAUCCACCACAUCUCUCCUCCUAAAAGGGUCCUCCCUCUCUUACUUAUACCAGCCAAUCCCGUCGCUCUCUUUCAGUGCUCUCUACUCCCUCUAGCUUUGAGCCAGCAGCCCAAGCUCUUAGGAUUUCAUGAGACUUUCUUCCACUUGGCCGUCCCGUCACUGCUCCCCCUGCCUGGCCCCUUCCCUAGAUCGGGUAGCCUGGUUCACUGUGUCCUUAAACAACCUGUGUGCAUGUACAGGAAAGGGGCCCCAAAGUGGGGAGGACCAUCUCUAACCCUUCAUUUCGAAAAAGAGACAUAGUCGUACUAGAAAAUGACUGCACUGACUUUUCUUAAUCAAUAAACGUCAGUGCAUCAUUUCCACUGUCUCCAUCACCAAAAAUCUCAGUGUUAUCUGCAGAGUAAAUAUCGACAGGCAGAGUCGAUUUACAUACAAACUCAUCUUUCCGCAUGCGGCUCUUUAACCAGUGCCGUUAAGGGUUUGCUCUAUCUGUUAGAAUCCUUAUAUUUGACUUCAGGGUGAAACCUCAUCAAGGGAUUCGCUCUUGUUGAUUUAAAGCAUUUUAAGCAAGGCUGGGGGUCGAGUUAUUUGAUGAUAUUUCAGGACACAUUUCUUUAUUUUCACCUGGAUUAGAUAAAGGAAAAAAAAAAUCAGUUUUGAAAUUCUUCUUAAUAAAAACUACUUUUUAACACAUGCAGUAAACCACUUUUUUUAAUAGCAGAAACUGUAACUUUUGACUUUGAUCACCAUACUGCUCACCCCAUCUCUCCAUCUAUAUUACUCACCCUCACAUGAGGCACUUGUCGUUUUUGAGAUCGAUGAAUCUAUAGGUGGAUGGAUAGAUGGCACCAGCUCGUAAUAGAUGGCCUCUCCCUGAAUGUGCUGAGUCACAGAGCAUGAGUCUGCAGGAGCCAGAAAACAGGCAGCAGACAGAUGAUGUUGGAUGUGGUUUCUGGAGUGAUAUUAAUGAUCCGGGUAGAGUUAUGCAUCAGCAGUUAUAUGUUUGAAGAGUUAAAGUCGAUAUUACAGACUUUAUGGGCAUGUCAGUGAUUUUGGUGGUCUGUUAAUUCUGCACAUUCACUGCAUUCAUCAUAAAUUUGUACAAACUUUAACAGCUCGGUCUUUACUCAAAGGCUGCACCAGUACAGAUUUAUGUUAGGUGUAUGUUAGAUCCCACACUGAUAAAGUAGCAGCAACUAAAUCAUGUGCAUGUUGUCUAUAGAAAAGGUUUCUGUGGAAGAACGAACAGAUGCUGCUGCUGCUGUUGUUGUUUUUUUCACUGGAUUGCUUCACAGUGUUGGGGAUGGAAGGCAGUAAAUGUUGUCAGUGUGCUCCUAAUUUUUCUUAAGAUAAAUACAACAUCUGAUUAGCUCUUCUGCUGCAAAGAAAGUGUUACAAUCAGUUUCAAGGCUGCACCUCAAAUUAAGUGAGUGAACCUGCUUAAAUGAAGACAAGAGAAGCCUCUGAUUGGGUUUGAUUUGCAGAUGUUUUUGGAUGCACUUCAAGUAUCGGACUGAUUAGAAUCAGCCUCCUUUAUUGUUAGCAAUACAUGUAUAAAUGAAGCUGGCAAUUCUAUGGGUGUUAAGAAAAAAAACAACACUUAUUUCUCUUUAUUAAGAUGAAUAUUUAGAUCACAAAACAGACAAGCCAUCUGAAAUAUAUCUAAGUGAAGUUGGGGUUUGUGGAUUUAAGAAAUUUGAUGAGGAACACACAUGUUAUGGCUCUGUCUUCAUUUUUUUAAAGAUUUUUUCUGCAGCAGCUGUGGUGGUGAAUGAGUUAAGUCUCAUCGGGUAUAUGUCUCAGUAAGUCAUUCAUAACAUAAUGCAGGUGCAGUCUGCAGAGGGGAUGCGCAAUAUUGUUUUCUUGCCAUUUUUUUUUUUCAAACUGAUUUUGGCCAGUAUCAGUAUUGAGAUAUGCACACCAUUUAAUUUUUUUAUCGUAGUGAAUGCAAAGUUUUUCCAGUACCAGAAUUUACAUAUUACUUGUCUAUUUAUUAUAAUUAUAAAUCCUUUUUAAAUGUCUACAUUCAGAAAUGCAUCUAUGGUCUGUUUCUAAGACCUCACAUCACUUCUUUUCAGCAUCAGCACACUCAUGUACAUGAUAAAUGCAUCACUUUUUUUGGUUGAUAAUUAUAUCUGCAGUCAUUUUCAUAUCUGUUUUUAACUUUUUUAGCUAUUUUUUGCCAGUACUGAUAUCAUUCCAGUAACACUGCAGUACCUAAUUUGCACGUCUGCCUCCAUGUUGAAAAAUGCUCGGGCCAGACCAGUUAGUCACAUGCAUGCACACAGACACUAAAACCCUCAUCCAUCAUCGACAUGCACUCUGUCACCUACAGAUAAACCACUGAAGGUAUUACAAAAACUCACACAACCUUUCAUAAAUAUCAGUAACCAGAACAUGAGUGAUUGUCCAGUUAAAUAUAGGGACAUUAAUGGCCCAGUAGACACUCUUGUCAUAUGGCUUUAUGAUCCCUUUGACUCCUGAUCCCCUCAAAUCCCUGAUGACCCAGAGGCCAUGACCCUAGCAUCUGCCAGCAGCCGCAGAAAGGGGGAGGCAAGCGCCGACUGUACCCAGACAGAUGCUCUAUAAGAUAAAGUCUCUGUAUAGUGAAGCCUCUCGUACACUCUCUGUCUCACAGGGCAAGAUGAGUCAUUGGACAUGGAUCCUGACUUCUCUGGCUUCGAGCUACAUUCAAUGAUUUGAAGCAGACUCUUGAGAUAUCUGGAGGGAACGCCCUAUAAGGGUCCUGUUUGGUCUAAUACUGUGUCUCCGAGUAAAAAAUGGAUGCCUGCGUCUGAGGCCAAACUUUUGAACUUUAUUGUGUUGGCUCAGUGUUACCGAGAAAGGGAUGCCAUUUAAAUGCCACUGGUAAUAUUUGGUAUAUUAUGUAAGUGUGUAAAAACUUUCAGCAGUGUCAGAAUAGUGAAACAGACUAGAGAGUUCAGAGAGAGAUCAAGUGAGUAUGCUUAAUCUCAUCUUUCUGUGAACACAUGAUUAUCCUUAUGGUCUCUGGUUUUCAAAAGGAGAUUUGAUCGCUCUUUUCCCUGAAAGUCCACCUUUCUUAAGUUCACUUUAUCAUUGUUCGUUACUGAUGUAGGUCUGUAUAGAAUAAGCAAGACACUUGAGGCUGCCAUGAUUUAAAAAAUUGGAUCCAUACUUCAAACCAUCCCUCCAUCUCUCUCUCUCUCUCUCCUGACAGAAACUUGGCUCUCUUUGGAGCUUCAGAGGACUCUGUACUGCUCCCUUUACAUAUCCAAACAGCUCUUUCAACGGGCAUGUCAGUCAGAAAAAAAUGAUCUAGAAAGACUGGAAGACACCAACUUCUCCAUGCUUCAGAAAGUGGUUGCAUGAACUGGUCUCAGUGAUACACAUGGAGAAAUUGCGAGUUAAUGAUUCAGAAUGUAAAUAUAAAUGGGAAGAAUCUUGGGGUCUCUUCCUGCAACAUUUGCACUUACCUGGACAGCAGUGGUACCUGCAUGUAUUCACUGAUUUUAUUGUAUAUAUGGACAUUUCUAUUGCAGACACCUUGGAUGUAGUGCUAACACAUAUAGGAUGUGCAAUGAUUUUGACCUUGGAACAGGGUUUAGAUGAACUAUUUGUCAUAUAUGUACCUCCUCUCUGGCUGCGAGAGAGAGAGAGUGUGUGUGUGUGUGUGUGUGUGUGUGUGUGUGUGUGUGUGUGUUCUAGUGUAGGAUAUUUUUUUUGUUUGCAUUUUGUUGUCAUAAAAAAACAAAAAAACAAAACAGUCUUUCAUAAGUCAUGGGAUGGCAUAGCCCGUAACAAAGUAUAGCUUUUUCAUAACAACAAAUUUACUCUCAUGAGCAUCUUGGAAUGAAGUUACACACAGAAAAAAAGUAAAAUAAAAAUGUUUAUUUUCUGAUAAUUCAUCAUCAUUCAUAAACACUUUUUUCCUUAGUAUGUUUCCCAAUGAAAAACUGACUCAUGUAUGAAUUUUCAUUACUAUAUGGAUCUGCUUUUUUUAUUUUUUGUUCUUAAGGAAAGGGUUCAGUUGAAAUGUGUGUUAUGUCUCCUUUCAUUUUUAAUACUCCAAUUUAACAAAUUUAAAAUAUUUUUUGCGAUAGUUGCAGUAGAAGAGAAAAAAAAACAUGAAGCGAAGCUUGAAAAUGUUUCUUUGCGUAAUGUUUGACCUUCAUUUUAAUUAAUUUUUGCCAGAGUUUCGUAUUACCUUAACUUUUUGAGUCAAUGGUGAAGGUUCUUGUUUGUUUUUUUUGCAGAAUAGUUAGAUAUCCACUUGCUCACAGCUCACCUUUUUAUGCUUGAGAAAGAUGAGUUGACUCUCUAAGUAGAGGAAACUUAGUUAAUGUUGAAGUUAAUCAUUUAAGUAGAAUCCACAUUUAAGCAUAUCCUAUGUGAGGGCUUCCAUUGUAUUAUUAAUAUGUGCGAUUAUUGGAUCUGCUGCCUGUGCUCUUUAUGUGUGCAGCGGUGCACGAGUUUGAUGUGUGCAAGUAAAGCUGUUUUCUCUCUCCUUCCUGUGUGUUCUGAAAUCUCCUCUGCUGCAGACAGUCUGGGGUGCAGAGAUGGUGGAUGGGGGGGGCGGCGGCGUUGGGGGUGGGGAGGAAGGCAGCGGACGUGGCGGCAGGCCAGAAUCAAUUGGCAGUGUAAUGAGAUGGCCUGGUGCCAGGUAACCAUGGAGCUCCCCUCUCUGCCUGUCUACCAGCACAGAGUUCAAAAUUAAACUGAAUGAAUGAGAGAGAGAGAGACAGAGAGAGAGAGAGAGAGGAGGGAGGGGAAAUACGGGUCUGAAAUGGAAGGAGUGGAGGGUGAUAGAAGGGAAGAAAUGGCUGGAGAGGAGGGUGGUUGAUGAGGCUCUGUGGGCUAUUUUCAAGCACUGCUGAAAAAUUUAACCUCAGCUUCAUUUCAAAGAAGGAAGAGGUAGAGGUAAACUCAAUUCCACCUGAGAUUUAGGUUCACAGGAAUUUUUCAAAAUACCACCGUACCUGGUGAUGCCUGUAUUUCAGUGAAGAAUAAGUGCUCUUCACAAAGAAAAGAAAACGUGACCUUCCUAAGUACUCUUCCUCAAUAUCCACACUGAGCUGCUCCUUUUAAAAGUCUGACGGCAUUAGUGGCUUUAAUGUGCCUGCAAAUCUCAUCCCUUCAUCCCCUUCUCGACCCACACUCUUCCUCCUGUCAUGGAAGAUGUGUUAAUAUUGAGCAUUUGGCUGCAUUCUUAAAGUGAUUAGUUCGAGCCAAUGAAUCCUGUAGAUGAAAAGAAAUUAAGUAAUUAAUACAGUAAUUAGAUCUUUUUCUUCCUCCUACAGCUUUACCCCUGCUAAGUCAUUGUGCUGGCUCCUUUCUUAACUCCCUGUGCAUAAAGCAUGUUAGGAAGCCGUGUGCCACCCAUGAUGGAUGGUUUUACUUGGUAAUUUGUCUCUGUCUGGUGAAUACAAUUUCCUGCUAUGUUGUCAAACACUGAAGGACAGUCAGAGGAUUAUUGAAACUGUAAAAAUUUUAAAUUGGUAUGUUUAUAUUAAGAUUAAAAUUAGAUUUAGCCUACAAUAGCUGGAUGAAGGUGCAGUUUUUGGAGUGUGUCAAGAGGAAACUGAGUUUAUGUCCAAAAGCACAGAAUCAUUCACUACCUCCCUGCUCAGUGAAAUGAAUGCAGUGGACUAUAUAGUGGGCUCAAUAGUGAGCAUAAUAGAAAACAGUUCAGACGUUCUCCUUGCUAGGGAUGCACAAUAUUGGCAAAAACUAAUAAUACUCUAUACGUUUCCUUUUUGGGAAAUAUAAUGCAAAAUGAAAAAUAUUGGUGUUCAUAAAUUGGGUUUUAUAUACCUAUCAACAAUUGAAAUUUCAGUAAUUCUAUUUCCAUCAUUUUAAUCUUGAAAUGUUCUUUUCUGCUUCUAAAUCAAAUCCCCAUCCUACUUUUACCACACUGUGUCCAACUCCCUGACAGCAGCUCCUACACUCACAGGAGAAGCUGAGGGACGAGAUGAGGAGAGAGUGCAGGUGGAGAGACACGUCGCUUCAUAAACUUUACAUAUAAACACAAUUAACUAACCUCACACCAGUCUCAGACAAGGCUAGAAAAUAUGUUUAAUCUCCCCCACUAACCCUGUGAGAGUAACUUCUAACUAAACAAAAAUCCAUUGACUUCUUGUACUAUUCUUGUGGCAAUGAAAUGGUUGACACAAUGAGCCCACCACCAUGCAGAUACAAUAUGUGUCUGGGGUAUUAAAGUUCUCUCUUAGAAUUCAGACAGCACUAUAAAACGGCAUAUUCGCUAAAUUGUGAAUUAUAUGGAGAUGUGGGGGUGAUUUUGGUCCCAGCACGACUUGGAUAUUCGUCUUAAUGGGUUAAGUAGGACUAAAAGUUUGAGCUUGGUGAUACUUGUCUUUUUUUUGUUCUUCGUGUCUCACAAAGAUAAGAUUUUUAAAAAGUUGAUUGAUGUCUUACACAUUUAAAUUUCGGAAGAUGCAGUAUGCCUGCUUUCUUGCACAGAGAGGAAAAAGUUACAAAGUGUGGCGGUUUCAACCCUCAGCACAUCUAAUCAACACAGUCUCUGGACAUACUAUUAGCCACAACAACAAUAAUCUAGUCCCCACCAAACAGGCUUGAGAAACGAAGCAAAUGCGGAAGUGCUCAAAACUGCAGUUACCCAAGUACCCGCUUGACGCUGGUUGCAGAAGCAUUAAAAACCAGAAACAUAUUAAUUUAGGGGGGAAAAAGGCUAUUUCUAGAGCAAAAGACCAUGUUUACAGCCUGGUUCAAAAAAUGUUCUUGGUCUAAGUACUUCUGAUUUCUCACAGCACAAACUGGAGUGAAUUUUCUUCUAAACCAAUUUGCUUUGAAGGUACUAAGAUUACGAGUUUCGCCAGAGAUGUGAGUGGCUUGACUAUUGGUAGAUCCACUAAAAGUUAAGCUGAGUCAGCGUUUACAAUAUGGCAGCAGCUACCAAUAAUCUUUGAAACUCUAUUUAUUAUACAUUCGAUGGUCAACACAGAUUUUGUUUAAUCAGUUACAGAUAUAAACUUAUAAACUAAAAUGGUUCAUAAACUCACAUUUCCAUCAAUAUUGUUGUUUGUCACAUUCUUAGAUUAUCAGUGGCCACAAUAUAUAAGAUUAGAUAAAAUAAGAUUAGAUAAGAAGAGCUUUAUUGAUCCCCAAAGGGAAAUUCAAUAUAUGUCUGUUUCACAGCACUUUUAAAAAAAAUGCUUAUUGCUCACAUGUGCUUUACUUGACUCAUAUUUUAUUUGGUUUUUGAUUAUGUUGAGUCAUAAAAUAGUUUUUUUAUGUCGAGUAAAUAUUUCAGUUGGUUCUUUUUAAGCUUUUUUAAAUUUACUCUCUUAGUCAUAGACACACUUUGAAUAUAGCUGGGCAUGUUUGUUAUUUAUGACCACAUCCCAUUAUACCAACAUCAAACAAUUUUUAUUAAGGGUCCUUUCAGUCUCCUAAACGUCCACCUGUGGAUGUUUGAGAGAAGCGCUGCAUUGAAAACCUUUCAAUAUCAACAUCACUGAUGAUUAAUGAACCUGUUAGAGUAAUCAAAGCAUAGGAAAAAAUACACACAAUGUUAUAGUUAUAUCAAAUAAUGACAAAAAUAGAAUUAAAUACUGGAAACAUGAGGUGUAUUUUAAUUUAAUGAAUCUAAAGGACUUCAAAUUGUGUCAUUGCACAGAAAGAAUAAUGAAAACACUUUUGAUACGCCUGUAGUAAAACAUAGUGCGGUUGUUUUGUAGAUUAUAAAAGAUGGGUUUGAUAAUUUGACAGUCUGGAUUCGUGGUUACACAAGGGUCAAAGGAAGUAUCUGUCUGAUCAAACAUAGAUUGAAAAAGUCAGAAGCUGCAGAUUCCCUGUGUCUCUGAAUUGGGGCCAGCAUCUUCACUGUCUUUAGAAACCAGCUCAAACAGGGCAGAGCCAGCCACAUAUCUCAGGCUGGCCAGAGCCGGCUGAAGCAGGCCAUCCGUUUGCUUUGUGCUGUUUUUCCUGCAGUAGUGCGAGUAAAUGUUAGGCAUGGCUGAACAUACAGGUUUUAUACUGAGUAAGGACUGGAGUGCUGCUUAUCCUGAUAUGACCUCUGCUCUCAAUGGGAUGCUGUCUUCCAAUCAGCGGUAUUUAAAGUGGGAGGGAGACGUGAUAUACUCAUCUGUCUGUACAGUAAAAAGCAUGUUCAGCAGUGGGCCUCAUGGCCUCUGAAAAAUGUCCGGGCACUCUCCACUGAAACGGCCCAGACUUUGAGAGUUUUGAGUGCACAUUGAGAGAGAGAGACGAGACAGUGGGCCAAGAUGUCUGUGGUGUGGAUUAAUGGGGAGGACUGGAGAAAGGGUGCCGCAGUUGUGCGUGAGCAGAAUAUUUGAUGGGGGAAGCAUGAGGAGGGAAAAGUGAGGGACAAGCAACUGCAUGAGAUGGGCAAGAUGAAAGGGGGGAACAGAUAAAAUUGGACUGAAACAUCGAGAUGUAUGAACAUGAAUCAAAAUCUACAGUAUUAAAUACUUCUGCUGUCUGGCGUCUCCCACUGGUGCUUUAUCUUGUCUGAUAGCACUUCACAGUGUGCGCUUUACACUGUGGUCUGUUGCACUGAGCUCAGCACAGGGAUAAAAUCUACAUAAAGGCCUUCACAGAGAGUUGAAAUAAAGCCUGAGUGGGACAUAGAUACCUCUGAAUGAAACACAUACAGAGACCAAUUUGAGUCAAAGAAUGAACAAAGCAAGUCACGUCUUUUGGAGUGCUCGCCCAAAAUAAUUUUGUUUCUGUGAGGCUCUGCUGUGUGCAUAACUGUAACCUCUAUGAAAUAACUGAAGUACUUCUUUUGUCUUUGCUUUUCCCACGAAGUUUCUGGCUCACAGAUGGAUACAGCUCGUGUCCUUAUGUCUGCUUUUGGUUGCUGUGACCAUUCUGGUAAACAACAUUUCUUUGUAGACAAAUGCUGACUUCACAUUCACUGUAGUUUUUUUGAUCCUGGUAUAUUCAUUAAGAUAUUAUUUUAAGUUGUGUGUGAAGCAGAUCAAAGCAUGGAGAUACUGUUAAAACCAAUUAAAUGUUUCAUUCACAUUUUUACUGACUUUACCUUCACUGAUUCUUUUUAAAACAAAAACCAAAUAAAUGUCAGAGAUAUAACUAACUUUUGCAAGCUUUUGAGCGUGGACUGUGGGUGUCUAGGGAAGGAUUUGACAGCUGUAACCAAACUAUUAAUAUCAGCCAUUAUUACUGCCCGCCCCCUGGGGUGUUGGAUUAAGCUUUAGUGACUCUAAAAAGAUUCUGACUUUCCCUGAAAAGUGUGCAGACAAGAACAAAAUCCAAAAAGACGAGCAGUAGUGGACAUGCUGGGAAACAAAAGAUACUCACAAGUACCAUGGUUAUAAAUGACUCUGACAUAUACAUGAGACAUAAAGCUGCUCCGACUGAAAUAUUAUUACAACCUUAGAGGAGAAAUAUAAACAUUAACAAGAAGGUAGUAAAUUACUGAUGUGGCUCAAGUCUCCCUGUGAUAUUCUGUGCAUAAAGUAAACCCUAUAUUCUUACUUGUAUAGAUUAUUGUAGACAUAUACAUAAUUUAACAUGUUUUAGUUGAAUGAAAAGAUUCAGUUUCAUAAAUUUUUGUCAGUCUUAAUGUGAAACUCACUGUUAAAAUGUUGCUGUGCCUCAUAAUCUGAAGUAAGAUUUAAUUCUGGAUUAUAUGUAACCUAAUGAUACACAAACGUGAGGAUGCUUUGAAAAACCAGAUAACUUCAAUAGAGACAACUAUGGCUAAAAUGUUGUGUUAGAAUUUUUUGAUGGCUACAUAGGCACUCCUUUUUUACAGUUUAAAUCAUUUAAUAUAAUGUGAUGUACAUCUAUGCUGAAGCUGUAUAAUUUACCAGUGCCAUAAAACAACACAUGACUCAGAUAGGAGAGUCACCGGGGAGAUUUGUCAUGAAGUCGUCUUUUACUGAAUGUGGCUGUAAAAUGCAAAAUUAAGUCAAAAGUUUGAAAGCCCAACAACAACAAAAGUGUUUCUCUAUUAAAUCGUUCACCUCACCACUUGCUUGACCGAUUGACUUGCUAAGUUACGAGAUUGUACCCCGGCGUCACUGCAGUUUCUUUUACAUUACUGUACAAAUAACGUGGUAUGGUUGUUCCCCUGUUGGUGGCCCACUUUUUAGUGCUCGCUUUCCCAGGCUCUGAGAGUGCCUUUCAGGGGUUACCUUGUGAGAAGUUUGGGGUUAUGCCCAUGUCAGUUGCUCUGUUUUCUUCAACCUUGUGUUUUGGAGAGGCUCUUUUCUGCGACAGGUUUCUUGGCAAUAUCCUGAAAGUCAAAUCUGGUCAUUUAGAUUCAAGUGGUGACCAUGGAACAGACAGCAGCCCAUUGGCAUGCUGUUGCAAAACUAGUAGUCAGGACUCUUGAAAUCUAAAACAGCAUACAUAGACUAGUCUUUUGGAGCAAUGGGGAGACACUUAAGCUAAAAGACACUCAAGUAGGGGAGAUUUUUCUAAGUAUGGUGCUUUAAUUUAGUGCAGGUACACAACAGAGUCAAACAGCGACUUUUAGGUACAAAAUGAUGCUUCCAGUCUUAGCGAAGACGAGGGCUGGAUGAAAUUAUUGUGCAGUGUUUUACAUAGAGAAAGAGGACACCCAUAUAUUUAUAUUGCACUGUAUGAAAGCGGGAUAGAUUUUGAUCAAUUUAUUAGAUUAGUCUUUAGAUCAAUAAUUUGGAGUGUGGAAAAACAAAAUACGUUUGUAAGGUAGCAUGAAUUUAGCAAGCAGCGUUUGAGCGAACGGACCACGUUUUCCUCAGCAAUGUAGCAUUUUUACUCUUCUUCUUGCUCUUCAUGCUCUAAGCCUCAUCAUUUCUUUCUUUUAAGUCUUUGUCAUAUUCUGUAUCUGAGGAAAGUUUUAGGAACAAGGCUCAUAAGCAAUGAACAGAGGCCCGAGAACAGAGCCAUGAGAUACUCCUCUAGAAAUGCCCAAAAUUGGUAUGUAGCACUUUCACUGUGCUGUUCACUCUUAUACUGUGUUGUUAUAGGUGCUAUUCAGGAUGAUAUUCAUGAUCAUCUAAUGUUAUAAGUCUGGGUAGAAAAUAUACAUGGUACAUUAGCGUGAUGAAAUUAAGAGCACACAGUUAAAUUGAAGAAAUUAAAAAAUAUAUAUCUUCAAAUCCAGUGCUUAAAAAAAGAGAUGAAAUACUGAUAAGCUAUCAUUGUCAUAGAAACUAAAAGCGACUUGUCCUGUCAGGUGUUCAGGGUACAUUCAAACAGAGUGUAAUAAAACAUGGGGACAGCACAUUACCAUAGACAGCAGGUCGGAGCGUUAGGAUGUGGGCACACAGUAAGCCGUAUCAUCCUCACUCGUUUGGAGUCGAAGCCUUCCCCUGCAUGGUGGCCCAAAUAGAGUUUCUCAUGGACUCACAGCACAGCUGUAUGCCAAUCCUCUGUUCUGAAAGACGGCUAAUGGGACAAAGGGCACGAGUGAGGCAAAGGGAAACGAGGGAGAGAUGCUUGCUGAGUCGCCCAGCCCUCCCCUGAGCAGGACGGGGAGCACCACUCUUCCUCACUGCUCAGAGCUGCUUUCCCCCGGCCCUCAGCCAUUUUGGAGAGAGGAAAAAGUGGCUGCUUUCUCUCUCCCUCUCUCACUACGUGGCAUAGCUUUGGAAAGGUUUCGGCUGCUGUUUUGUAGGAGCAGAGAAGAGACAUUUUGCAGCUCGCGUUUGGGGGAUAAUGUGUUUGCAGGGAAAAAAUCUGACGCGAAAAACAACGUUCUUCCAUCUUGACUUUUUUUUUUUAAUGAAUUUUCGUUUCCCUUGCAUUCAGCUGCUAAGCCUCUCUCCUCUUUGCUGUGCACUUUCAGUCAUGCUGUGCUCUUUCUUUCAUAACUUGUGCUCUAGUUUAGUUGUCGGGUGCUUUCCCUUGUCUAUUUUAAAUUAUACCUUUUGUCAUUUCUCAAUUUGACUGUGUUUAAGACUAAAGGAUAGGUCCAAAUUUUGGCAGAAGUACGAAGAGACAGAGCUGUAGCCAGAGAUCCUGCUGGGAUCCAAAAAAGCCAAACAGAAUGAAGCACCAAAAAAAAAAAAAAAAAGAAAACACCACCCUUUCCUUUGCCUGAUCACAAAUUCCACUUUUUCUGUGGCCAGCCCUGCGCUGCGACUCCUCCUCAUCCACAUCUUACCGCAUUCAACCUUUUGCCGUUUCUCUCUUGCCGUACCUUUUUUUAAAGGCGAUUUGAGGUUUUUGUGUCCCGGAAAAACAGUAAAUGGACAACGGGUCAGGAGGGCUAACAGGGGGAGAACAAGGGGAUGUUAUUUUCCUACUUUUGCUUGUUAUUCAAUUUUUUUCUUCUGUUGCACUGUAACUGUUUUCGGGUCGUUGUUGUAGUGCUAGUAGUGUUUAGUUUUGUGUGCUGUGAGGAGGUGCUUGGAUCACCACGUGUUUCUCGUUGUGUGGUUUAAGGAAUAUGUGUGCAGGGGUAUCUAAUCUGUCAGUUUAAGACAUUCUGUUCUGCUCCCAGUAAUGAUUUGUAAAUCUGCUUUUUCUAGGUGUCUUGAUUACGCUGAAGGAUUGGCCUACACUGCUCCUCAUGCUUGACUCCAGCUGAUUCCAGAGGAUGUCUUGACCAUCACUUCCAGCGUGUGCCUCACUGGUACGUUAGCGAUUAUUUCACUUACAGUUUUCUUGUUUCUUUUUCUUUCUUUUUGUAUCCUAAACCCCACCCAGUGAUGCAUACCUGGUGUGUUGUUCACGUUUUUUUUUUUGUUUAAAGGUAGUAAGGUCAAGAGAGACAGCGUUACUUACUGAGGAAAUGCAGAAUUUCUUACAUAGUUGCAAGGACAUAUUCACAAAUUUGCUACUUCUCUUUAAAAAUGAUACUCCUGUCAUACUGUGUAUUCUGUAGAGGUUUGAUUUCAUAUGUUUUAUCACUCUCACCUGAUCUUACUUGACAAUAUUCACCUGCAGACGUUGGAUUUUUGUGUGUGGAUUUUUUUGUCUGUGGACAGCGUAUUUGUUCAGAAUCUUUCUGCUGAGAGACAAUUGCUCUCCUCGUGGUUUUGGGACAUUUUGUUCACAUCGUGGUCAUUUCCAAAAAAUGCCAGAAAUUCUGUUUUUAACUCAAAUUCAUUUUCAGGAUUCGAAUUAUUGAUCAGAAGACUGCAAUCUACAUGUUUGUGUCUUGAAAUGAAAAGAUUCAUUUUGUUAUUCUGUCUGACAUUUGUAAAGUAAGUGUUGACCUCAGAAGAAUGUGAUCAGUAGGUUACACAAACACCACGUCUGUCUCACAGUCAUGUGCUUUCGGCCUGUGCGUUGGGCCAUGGUUAAAUUCGAAGGCUUUUCUUUAUGAGGUACACAAACAGCAGAUAUACUAAAUAGCUGCAUUUAAAAAGUUAUUAGUAAAUAAUAACACAGCGAAUAUUUAAAAAUAACAGUAUUUAAUUUGAUUCUCGGGCAAAGCGAUUGAUUCAGACACUACUUUAAAACUAAGAAUCACUCGACUCUUUCUCAGGUCAUUUAAUACACUUAAGAAGAUUUUCAAUUCAACGCUGAGAAUUAUUUUAACUUCAGUUUUGUGUUUUUCGCUCUGACGCGUUUGCGUUAACGCCCAUGGUUUGCAUGUUGAAUAAGUCGUGUCUACAGGUCCAGAUUGUAGUUUGUCUUCCUGCUCCCAUGUUUUGUGAGAUAUGUCCUUCUUAUUUGCUCUUGAAGGGGUUAUGCCAGCUGCCACAAACCCGUAGAUCCGAACUUGUGGUGACUGGCUGCACAAGCUCGUAUCUAUAGGUAUGUGUCUUCCUGGCAAACACAGCACCUGCCCUACAGCAUGCCUGUAAAUACACAAGAAUAAUAAUAAUAAUAAUAAUAAAAAGUAACUCAAUGUAUUUAUCUUCAAAACAAACACCUUUGUAACAUCGAGGGUUAUUCUUAGACUUCUCACAUGUUCUCUUUAGUGUUUUUAAAAUCAAGCUUUGAUGGUACUCUGAUGACUGACAACACCCAUGUCUGUCAGAACAGGAUAUUCUCCUCUAAACUUCUCCCUUGUGUCCCAUCUGUAUGCAGUAACCCCACCCAAGUGGGAGGGCUGGACUCUAUGACGAUGUGACACGACAUAAAAAUCUUCCUCGUAUCCUUGGGCAGUGCAGCAAAUCAAUGAACAGAACUAUUUCAUAGUAAUACUGACUUUGCAGGACACAUGAAUAAAGGGUAAAAGAAGACCAUUUCCUCUGCUUUAUUUCAGCUAAAGACUGUUUUUUUUUAAAAUAUUGCACCAGAGUUUGAUCUCCUCAUUAAGUUUGCUUUCACAUCAUAUUGUAAAAUUUCGUUCACCCUGAUAAGUUUACUCCAUGUCCCCCCUGCAGAGUAGUCAUCCUACUGUUUCCUCCAGUGUUCCCGCAGGUUGAGGUAGUAGGUUGUAUAGUUCAGAGUGACACCACAGGAGAUAACUGUACAGCCUCCUAGCUUUCCCUGAGGAAACACCACACACGCUGAAUACUGAUGGAGUAUUUUUUUUUACCAAUCAUCACUUUUUUGUGUAACACAAAACUAGGCGUAAUCGGACUAUUAAACAUGUUUCAUGUUUUAUCCCAGGUUUUGUUUUUGGCCCUAAAAUUUUGAUUUUGAAGUUUUGCAAUUUGACUUUUACAUGGAUCGCUUCCCGUUUUCACCCGGGCAAAAAUAGUCAUAUGGGCAAACAAUAACAUGUAUGAUCCUUUUUGGCAGAGACUCAAAAUUAAAACAUUCAGUGAUCAGGGGACAGCAAGGACACAAUGUUGAAGAGAUGUGUACAAGCAGGAUAAUGCUGCAGCAGCAGCAGCGAGGUCUGUGGGCCGCUCUAAUGAAAAAGAUGCCACUGAAGGGAAACACCGUACAGCAGCAGGGGGAAAAAUACAGUCCUGGCAGCCAAUUAGAUACAAAGUUCAGUUUCAUGAAACCAAAACGAUAUACUUCCACUGCUCAGCUGUGUGCUAAAGAUACUGCUGGGAUGAAAACAACCAGCAACGACUGUCAUUGCUUCAAACCAAGAAAACCCUAGGCCCCUCAAAUCAGCUAUACCCCCUACAGCUAAAAUACAGCAGAUUAUUGCUCUGUUUGAAGCAAAUUAUAAAACCGUUUCUUGUGAUUUUCUUAGACUUUGGCCGGCCUUUAGCUCCUCUUUACCGUCAUAUUUUAGUGACAUUUUUAUCUCAUUCGUAGAUCUCAAACUCCACUUUAAAAUGUCUGGAAUCUCAGUUAUGAGACGGCAAACAUGUCAAACAAAUUAAAAAUCCUUAUAAAGCAAAUUCUUUCUUUCCACACAUAUUUAUGUCGUCACUUCUAUGUUUAUGAAAUCAUACCGUGGUGAGGAAUGAGGCGCAGCAUUUUAUCACCAAAGUGCUGGCUGGUUUACUUGAGUUUUGCCGUUUUAAAAAUAAGUUAAUCCUGAAAAUGUUAAAUAAAGUAUUUUUUAUAUUAUACUUUUAACCAGCCUACCAAAUAAAACACGACAGUGGAUGUAGUUAAAGAUGGUAUCCUUGUAAUGCAGUGUGCUACAGUGUGCAGAUGUGUGAGGUAUGAAGUGGUGUGGUGAUGAAAGACUGUUUCCACUUAAACUCUUCACUCUGUCCCGAGGCCACCGGGUUCGAUGGAGGUGGAGUAAGGAGCUCUGUUGGCCUGAGUGGAGCGGGGGCCCUUGGUACGGGGCAGCUCCUGCAGAGCGAUAGAGCAAGCAGUCAGUUGCAGCAGAUACAAAAUUAAAGACGAGAUGUUUUGCCUUUCUUUUAAUGAUACCUUUAAUUAACCAUGAUAAGCCUGUUUUCCUUGUACCAGCAUAAUGUUUUUCAUUUGUUUUGCUGCUUGUGUGCGAUGUUUUGUUGUGGCAUUGGAGUGGUGUGUUACUGUAUACAGCAGGAGGCAUACAGGAGCGCUCCCUGGUGACCCCCUAAGCACACACACCACGCCUUUUGUGUAUAAUCUAAAUGUAGUUUUUUUUGUCUUCAGUGAGUAUCACUAAAAAUAGUCUCAUUUAGCUGUUCUAAUGUUGGCUCUGUGUGUGGCUGACUUACAGUACAGCAUCAACAGCACUGCAGAGAAGGUUGAUUAUUUUCUUAUAGUAAUAUAACAUGAAAUGCACCCCCCACUGCUCUGUUAUAUGUUGAUUUUGUGAGAUACUACACCGUCUUGUUUCUCUGAACUGAAGGGAUGCCUUUGCUAAAAAAAUCAGCUGGAAGAGUUUAAAAUAGAAAGUGUCCCAAAAACUCUUAGAGAAGGUAUUUCACUAUUUUUAUUCAAUAAUUCUUUAUUGAUCUUUCAACGAAAGACAAUACUCUUUUAAAUAAAUCUAUUCGAUUGGAUGACAGUGUGGGACCACACAGGCUUUUUUACUGCUGUCAAUUAUAUUAGGCCAUCGGGAGUUGUCCGUCAAAAAGACCCUGCCCUGGUGAUUCCCUUUUCUCCCCAUUUGUCUCGCUGUCUUACCAUCGUGUCUCUCGUCUCCUCACGAGUCCUAUUUGCUUCUUUAACCAGCUUAUACUUAAAACAUCUAUAUAACACCACCACCUUGAGUUACUAUCCCUAAACUGCUUCAAGAGUUGGAGGGUUCCUCUCCCCCAUCUCCUCUUUUUCUCUUUAUUCCCUAACUUUGUUUGUUUGAAAUAAAUAUUGUUCUUGUCAGAUUAUGGUGUAAGAUAAGAAUCUUUGUCUUAAUUUAGUUUCCCAGGCAACCUUUGAUUACAAAAGAAAAACAGGCCUGCUUUAUAUCGUUGAAAUUCUAACUCUGAAUGACAGAGGCCGCCCAAGAGCUUAUCACAUGGCUUGAAUGACAAUAAGGCAGGAAAAUGGAGUUUCAUUUCAAAAUCUCCUACGUAAGAAAGUGCUUCUGAAGACAGAUUUAUUCUAGAAAUUCUCAAAUGAGGAAAGUAAAUCAUCCAGCUAUAACAAUGGAAGAUUGAUUGGAAGUUUCAGAAUGGGAUUUUAGGGAUAAAAAAGGGAUUUUGUAAAUAGCAGCAAUCAAAACUGAUAAGUUAUUGUUUGAAUGGCCUCACAACUUUUUUACCAAACCUGCUAGAGAGGUGGAGUAAAAUACUUUGUUUUGGUUUUUGCAGGAGGAGAGUUAGCCUGAAAAAAUAUGAAUGAGCACAUCAAGGUGGUCAUUUAGCCUUUAAACAGUUAACUUUAUAUUUGCUAAAUUUACAGAUCCAAGUUCAAGAGCAAAAUAUUUGUUAUAUGUCUGACAACUUGGUUUGAGCAUAGAUGUUAAACUACAUGAGUACAUGUGGAAAGAAUAUCCAUUUGUAUAGAAUUUAGACAAUCUGAAGCAGACUGGUAAAUGUAUCCUGAGAUAAGACUCUGUCUGACCUUUCAGAGGAAAAGAUUGUCUGAGAGAAGAUAAGAAAAUGAAUCAGUAUGACAAACACAGAGGGAAAGUUGCUACAGCAUACAGAGGAGACAUUUUGUAUUGCCAGGCUUCAUAGUUGAUGGAAAACAGUUCACCAAUUUGCAGAUUUAGGUGUAGCUAGCUAGAAUAUAAAUCCAGUGAAAGAUGGGAAGCAGUAUUUAAGUAGGAGUAGAUCAUCUGCAUACGGUGUAACCUUGUGUCUUUGUGCCAGCGUUUUGAUACCUACUGUUUUGUCUUCCAUGACCAGGACUCAAUGAUCAAAAGUCAGGUCAUACUCACAAAUUAAGGGUUGAAGAGGGCAGAACUGUGGGAGACUGGAUAAUUAGCCGAACUAAUGUUAUAAACUUUUCAAGUAACUCAAAUAUCUCAGAAAUCAGGCAGCUUUAUUCAACCUGAAAAAGGCCCUCAUAGGAUCUGGGAGGACUGCAAGCUCGAGAGUAUGCCUAGAGAUAUUAUUUCGAAUAUAUUAGGCAAAACUUUUAAGGUACAAAAGUAAUUUGAUGUCAGCAAAAAAUCGGAGUGUGGGCUACAGUGUAUUUUCUUCCAUUGCAUAGGUUAAGCCAUUUUGCUAAAUUUGUAGUUAUCUAGAAGUGUCAUCUGUUUUUCUUGGUGGAUGUCCCUCGUAGGCUAAUACAAGUCGUUAAUAUUGAAGUCAGAAAAAAACUCAGAAGUCAGGUACAAAAUGUGGUUUUUUUUAAAGCCACAUUGACCAUGUCUAGUUAAUGCUGGGUGAAUGAUUGUUUGGCUCCCCUGGUAGGUUUGCUCAAAACUUUAUUCAUCAGCAGUGCCAAAGAAGGCAACUUAGACAUAUCCCUGAGCUGCUUCCAUGAGCCCCAAAAAGCAGCUUUCUUCUUUAUCGUGGUGAUUGUGAGGUUGAUCAUGAUAUUCUAUGAUGUGCCAAAGACAAAAUCCCUUUAAAACUCAUAGGAAAUAAUGAGCAGCGGGAUGCUGAAACAGUGAAUCCUGAUGUUCAGGUAUUUGGCUUCUCUUUCUAGACCUCUGAGAUCUCCCUGAUUAACACUUUGCUUGAAGGUUUUUGACAUCAGCUCCUGACAGAGAUGGCUCACCAGCUACUGUUUUUUUCACGGCCUUUAAACUUCUGCCCGUCUCGUUCCUCUGUAUUGAGGCCACCAACGGCAGUACCCAUGUAUGAACAGCCAUCUUUGUGUAAAUGUCACUCUUUGGGGAGUCCAGAGCCUGUUGACAAAGCAGAACAUACUAGUCCCCCCUUCUGCUGAGCUAGCAUUAGCAUCAGAUGUGGCCCGAUUGUUCAUAGUUAUUUAAUCUGAGUCUUCAUGGUCAGCUGUUAAAGUCAGACAGUCUGUGCUUUGGUACUUUCAUACAAUGGGGAACAUUGUUUGACAAGGCAUGGAGGUUGGAAUUUGCUGUUUGUAUCAAAAUGAGAAAGUCACCUCAUGCUGCUUGCAUAAAGUUCGCCUACAUCUCUUCCGCGCAACAGCGCCCCGCUCCCCCCUCCCCCCUCCUCCUGCUCCUUUCCUCUUUCAAUCUUCUCUUGUCCCACCCUCCUUUUCCUCCAUGAUUGCACGCUGUAAUACCCAGUCAGUCUCGCAGACACAGAGGGGAGAGAGGCAGGAACAGAAUACCGGACUUGCCGAUAGAAGAAGGACUUUUUUCUUUUCUUAAAUGAAAGGGAGCUUGAAAAGAGACAUUGUAAGAUAAAAACGUGAUUAUCUCUGCCUUCUCUCUUUCUCCUUCUGCUAGUGUUUGUCUUCGUCUUUACUACUUUCUCCCUCCUCGCUCUAUACCUUUUCCUAUCUCUGUUUCGCUGUAUAAAGCAGGCCUGUAGAGACUGCGAUUUCAGCUUUGGGGAGAAAUGAAUGGACGAUAUUUAUUUGUCUUUUCUCCGCUCUGCCUCUGCCGUUUCAGUGCUGUAUGUCACAGGCAGAGGGGCAAGCAGAGCCUCUACUGUUUCUCUGCCCUGGGGACUUGAGCCUGCAAUCCAUGAAGCAUGCGAGGCAGAGGAGGGAAAGAAAAUACAGAGGCACAGACACAGGCAGAGAGGUGUGAUAAAGUGAGACUAAAGCGGUGAGCAGGAGCAGAUAGAAAAUGUGACACAGAUGGAGACAGGAGACAGGGGACAGACAGGGGAAGGAAAUGAUGGGUAGUAGUGUCACAUGGAGAAAGAGGGGUGAGUAGCAGCGGCCACAGGCACUACAGCAACAGGCGUUACACAUUUUUUCCUAUUAUUCACUUCUGUGGCUGUUUGGACACACUGUGUGAGCUUAUUUUCAUAACUUUUAGACAUAUCUGCUGAAUCCAUAAGAUAACAAGCACUUGUGUUUCUCUCAUGUUUGUGUUUUAGGGUCGUCUGUAAAGCUAUAAUUAAUGUGGAAAAACUAAAGCAGAAGCUGAGAAUGUAAGCUAAAGUGAACGAUAUUGUGUCGUACGCCUCAUGCAUAAAUAUGAAUGUAGUGUGUCGCUUUAGCUUUUAAAAUCAACACAGACAGUCACAUAUUUUAAUACCUUAAUACCGACUUGAUUGGACUCUUUCUUUUGUCUCUUUUUUCCGAUCUGUCUCUCACUUUUCAUUCCUCUCCUUUACGAGGAAGCAUGCAUGUAGCGGUACAGGCCUAUCGAUCUGCUCAUUCUUUCCUUGUGCGUUGUGCCACUUUUCUGCUCACGCCCACCGUAAUACAUCUUUGAUUUAUUAGAAUCUUUAAGAAGAAAGGUUUUUCUCGUCAGUCUGUUUUAUCAACAGCUGCUUCGUGACGUGUAAAGUGGCCUCUUUCCUCUGUGUUCUUCUGAAUUGACAGUAGUGUCAGUCAGUCUUACUUCUUUUCUUUUUUAAUCCCAUCUUUGUUACAUUCUUUGUUCACCUAAAAUAACCUUUUAACCUCACACCUGCCCUCCCUUUCAUCUCUCUGUCUCUGUAUCUCUCUCGCUCCCUCUCUCUCUCCCUCUCUCUCCUCUCUCUCUCUCUCUCUCUCUCGCUGCACAUGGUAUAGUCUUGCAUGUCUGAGCAGCAGACGGCGAGACAGCAGCAAUCUGCUACAGCAGCCUCAUGUGCUAGUGCGAAUGAUCCAUUCAACAAAGCCUGAGCUAGCAGCACUAAAACCUCUUCCUCUGCUUCCCUCUCCAGCUAUCUCUUUCAUCGCAGAUCUCUCUUUCUCUGUUCGUCUGGCCACAUCCUCCGCUCCUCUGCUCCUCUGACCGGCACAGACGUACAGCGAGGACUGCGGCAGCCUUCACCACCUCUGUCAGCUGGGUGAGCUUUCUCCUUUCGCUCCUUCCUCACAUCUUGCCUUCACCCUCCUUUUCCCACCCAGUUUUAUCUCCCUGUGCUUUCCCCUCCGUAAAAUCAAAACUGCAUGAUUGACAGGGGUGGUCUCGCUGGGAUGACAACGCUGGCAUGUCAGGGGGAUGGUAUAUCUCAUAACUGUAAAUGGAAAGAAGCUUUGGCUUUUUUAGCAACGUGGAGAGAUUUUUAACCGUGGCGGUCCAGUUGUAGGACCCCGCUGCUCUCCUUGUUGUGUAGUUGUUGCAUGCAGUGUGCAGGAUUUUGGCAUGUUCAGUGAGAAAUCAAAGAUAAUCAGACCACUGUUUGGCUGAGCCAGGCUGUGGCAGCGACAGGGAGGCCGAAAUACGCUGAGGCAGAACCCCUCUUAUGAACAUCAUGUGAUGAUUAAGUGCUGUCUGCCUGUCUGUCUGUCUGGGUUAGUUUCGCUAUAUAGUGGCAGCACAAGUGUUCAUACUAUAUACCUGUUAUCACUUGCAGUGUGAUGAUUUGUGGUGAGGUUCAUUUGUGUGAUGUGAUUUGCUUGUGAUACACAAUGUGAAACGGUACUUUGGCCCGUGUUCAGAUCACAAUGUCGCUUAUCGUCUAAAAACGUCAUGAAUGAGGCGAUGCAAGUGUGUCGGGGUAGUGCGGACUUGACUUACUGAUCCCAAACUGGAUUUAGAGACAAAACUUACACUCAGGGAAGAGAACAGCACAGAGCUAGGAAGAGAGGAAGCUGGCAUUGUCUGCUCCAGUCUCUGCCACAGUGCUCAUGCAGCAGAUGAUCUACUGUUUGUCGCAUAUGAAAAAAGCCCUUAAAAAAAAAACAACAACCUGUACCUCUCUCAUUCCCUGAGACCCUAACUUGUGACGUUUUCCUGUGAUGUGCACGGGUUGGGUUCUUGGGAGCUGCGAGGGGCACUCACACAUCUCUGUAAGCAAAAGCUAAAAAAAAAAAAAAAAGACUAACAUGGCGGAAAGACAAAGCGAAGCAAAGAGGGGGACGGCUUCCCUUUUCUGAAGCUAGGCUCGGCGAUGGGGAAAUGUACGUGUCAUCCACCCACGCCGCGAAAAAACAGCGAAAGAGGGGAUGGAAAGGGAAGAACACUUUUUUUUUUGCGUUACACGAACGAGUUGGACCCAGAGGCAGGCACAGCGUGUGGGGCGUGGGGUGUGGGGUGGGGGAGAUGGAUAGAGGAAUGUGGGUAUGAAGGACAUGUGACUGGGAUAGAGGGAUGUCCAGACAAGGUGGGGGUGACGUGUCCAAACACUGAGUCGUUUACUGUAUCCCUGUGUUUUGGGCAGGUACAAUUAAUGAAUGAGAAAUUUGUGAAGGUUACACCCACAGUGACUAAUACUACACGUGCUCACACAGACCGACAGCACAAGGACCUCAGUCAGACUGUUGAACACACACUGCGCUGUGUAUACUGUACAGACACACAGUCAUAAUUCGUAGAAACACACUGACAGUAUGUUGAUGAAGUUGUCUUUGUGUAUCACAAGGGAAAAACCCCAUUGUGUAAAUAAUUACGAUUCGUGCUUUUCGUCCUGUUAAUCAAACGAAAGUCGCAGUUUCCUCAUGACACUUCUUCACGCCUUAUCUUGAGAGCAGCACAAAGUACUGGUGAGAGCGUGACCCUGAAAGCUCAGUACACUUGUGUUUGACCUCAUGAAAAUUCUCAUCUUUCUGUUUUACGCAUCCGUCGGCGUGUGCCUCCUCGCUCCUUAAUCAGGGUAGUAAAUAAAAGGCGUACAUAAUCCAUGUAUGACACAUGUAUGUGUGUGCAGCAGGGUGACACCCCCAUGGUCGCCGGGUCAUUAAACCAGGGUUUGAACACAAAAUGACUAUAUAAACAAUCGUAGUGUUCACUGUGUUUUUUAAGUGGCUCUUAAAAUGAGAGUUCGUAUUCGGUCGAUGGUUCACUUAAUGUACGUGUUCAGCUAGCGGUCACUGUAUCAUGCAUAAGACUACUGUUGUCUCACUCCUCACUGUUCUGGAAAAAACUGCCGCUCAGUAUGUUGUAAUGUGUCUGGAGGCAAAUGUCUGUUUCUAUAAUUGGUGGUUGAUCUGUGAUCACAGCAACAGCUUCAUUUCCAGCUCUUACCCACACCUCCUGUAUAUGUAACCCUUUACAUGUCUGCUUCCUUCUCUUCAGCCACUCUGAAGUUUGCUCUCUCCCUCUUUCAGGGAGCUUCAGCGGCACUCAAACGAGGGAUGCUUUUUUGAUGUUUUGUCCUCAUUCUUUCAUUAGCUUGUAUUAUGCAGGAUGUGAUGCGGUGAUUAUGUGGUUGAAGGACAGGUAGCUUUGAGCUCUGAUUCUAUUUUCAGCUUUGAUUUGAAGGAAUUUUUAGCCAUGUCUGAUGAAUGCUUGAAGAAACAGCUGACAUUUUUUGUUACAACCCCCCCUACCCCACCUCAAGCAAUUCAUAAAAGCUCUCUUAUUUUGGUGGUCAACUGCUUCUGAGGAGUAAUGACUUCAUAAUGUCUUUAACUCACUCACACUCUCAUGCACCUUGUAUCCUACUGGGAGUUUUGCACCACAGCAUGGUUUCAGUUUACUGGAUGAGAGGAUGCAGGAUGUGUUAGUUUUUUUUUGUUAAAGUGAAGCAGCAUGUGAUACCUGAAAUCAUCUUCUCAAUCAUAACCACCUCCAUCGAUAGAGGGAGAAAACUGCAAUGUUGAGGGGAGUCUGGCUAAGCAUGUGUUAAUCUGAGGUACAUGUUAAAUCCAUAUUUUGUUUGCAGCUUUAAUUGUGUUUGCCAGUUACUCUUCACUCCUGAGGUUUAUGAGUGUGUGAUCCUCGCAUUUUCAAACGUUUUCUAACGCCAUUUCUCAAUCUCUUUGCGGCGAGCGUCGCAGAGAGAGUCAGUGAGGGAUGGUUCGUCAUCUUUCUCUUCUCAUAUGUGCUAAAAUGUAAAUGUGAUCAUGUGAUGUCAGCGGGGUUUCCUUCUCUGAGCAGCAGUAGGUCACGGUGUCACUGUUUUCCUUGUUCAGCAGAAACAUUGCAAUGAAAGAUUACAUCCAGACAGACAGCGAUGAAAAGGAAACAAACAUAAAACAUGAAGAAUAUUUGCAGAGCGGCUGCUGAUUUGAUUUCUGUUUGGGUCUGAAAUGCCAUCUCUGCUCCGACCAAAAGUAACAGCCGAGGAAAAGGAAAGCAAUAACUUUCAUGCGUGCCAUUCAAGCAUCACACUAUGUGUAUGUAUGUGUGUGUGUGUGUGUCUGCGAUCGGUGUGUCUGUGUGUGCAUGCACCAGCCACAUUAUUGAGACCUCCCACUACAGCCUUGCCCCCCGGCCUCUGCUGGAUUUCUUUCCAACUUGUAAAAUGGCCGACCGAUGAAAGAAGCACAGAUCUUUCAAUUUCUUAAAUUUACAGCCUGUGAGUGUUUUCUAUUUAUUUAUCUAUUUUCAGUAGAUGUAGAGAAAAUUCGAGUGCAGGAAAUGGAUUGACAAGUAAUCAUAGCAACUGUCAAUCCUUGAGAUUUUGGACUGACAGAAUUUGGAUGAAUCAGGGUGAAUGUAGAUCAGCUAUUUAUUUUUUCUGCCUUCUCUGCCUGUUUUUUAGAUAAAAAUUCAAUCUUGUUAUCGAUUUCUGAACAGUUCUUCACUUCAGUUGUCGAGAAGUACAUACAGAAACCUUGUCCUGGUGUUUCAAAAUGUUUGGCUGCACUAAAAUCGGGGCUGUACUGUAAACCACCAAACAACCCUCAGGGAUUUGCUGCUGAGGAAACUGGGAGCAAACCUCAAAUGUAAAAUGCAGUUUUCAUGUUUCAUGUCUCAAUGCAUGAAUAAACACAUCUGUUGUGUGUGUGUGCGUGUGCAGCAUAUGUCAGGGAGUAUGGUUUUGUCAGCUUUCUGCCUCCUCUCCUCUCCUCUGUCAUUUCCAGCUCUUUCUCUGUGCUGUGAUCUCACUCACACUCUCACGGCACAGGGGAUGAGUCCUCAGAUGCCCUCUGAUCGCUGCAUGAGAGGCUGGACGCAUGUUUGAAUCUGCCUCUGUCUCUCUCGUUUUCUCUCUGCUUGGUACAGUGGCUGCUGCUGUUGCUCCAGCGGCAGGAGCAGGUGUGUCUACCUCCUGUGUUGCCCCCCCUCCUUCCUGUUCCCUUAUCACUGCAGUACGGCAGCUCUGUCUGGGAGGCAGCCAUUCCAUUGUUCUCGCGCCCCCUGCACCUAUCGGUGCCCCUGUGGGUGCCGUCUCCGCUCUGCCCGCCCCUACCGGUAGAUGGGACUGGCUCCAAAUCACUGUGAUACUUGGCCCUUGGUGCCCUGAGCAAGUUACGCUCUGUUACUCAGGCUUUCUGUCUCUUUCCUCCCUGGACAGAGCUCAGUACUCUGCUGCAGACCGCCGCCAUCUUGUUACUGCUUGUGCUGCUGGUCUGCUGCCUCUGCUGCGCUCAUACCAAAUCGAACCCAGCCUCAACUGUUUGAAAGUGUCUCACUUCUUCUACAAUUGUUGUCCUCCAUGCUUGUCUUUAUCACAACGCACUCUCAGAUAAGUGAAGCUUUUUGAACACAUGCAUCAAACCUGAUGAUUUAUGCUGCCGACACGAUCAUCGCUACUCACAGUGAAUUUAUUCCUCUCUCUGCAAAUAAGUUGAUAUUUUUGGAGUAUAAGACAUACUCAUAUCUGAACCAAUGUCUGGUUCAGGAAGCCCAAAUAAUACCGAUCACAACUGUAAAUGUAGCAUCAAUCACUUACUGUUACUAACAUGAUUCAACGUGAAGACCAACCACCAAAGAGAGUUAAGUAAAACUGGGACUGCUAUUUUACAGAUUCACAAAUCCCACUUGGUAAUAGACGGCUAUUAAACGUCUAGUUUUUUUGGUUAGACCUAAUUUCAACCGUCUAGAUACUGUAUAGAUGAAAUUUAGACGUUGCACUUUAACCCAUUAUUCGAUAACUGUUUGAUCAAAAAGCAACUGUAAUUUAGACGUCUCAUAAACUUUCAUUUUUAGACCUGUGGUAGCCUGAUUUUAGACCAGUCCUCUAGGCUACAUUUUGACGUCUAUUAGACCUCUUUUAGACCAAAAAAUGCUCAGUGGGAUGAUGUUAUUAAAAAUCUAAUUUUUGCAUUUGAUGCUGAUGGAAAGGUAACAUCUGCAUCCCAGUCCAUCUCUGAUACGGGGGGAGUUCAUGCAGCCCUGUAGGUAGCACAUAAAUGCUGUCUGAACAUGUGCAGCUGUAUUUGGAGGGAAUACAAAUGAUCCAAUCACUUUUUAUAUUCGGAUCAAGUACUUUUUUUAUCAUCUAUGUGUCACAUAUUUACUCUUGCCAAAAAGAAGCCUCACACUUCUCUCAGCAGAAUAUGAUAGCAGAUAUGAGUCAAAGACAAACAUCGGUCACCGGCAUAUUUAACAUGUCAGCAAUGCAGCGUGAAUAGCUUGACCAUGAAAACUGCGUAGGAUGACCCGAGCUAAUUACACUCAUUAAAGCCCUCAUGACAGCUGAAAGAGAAAACAAAGACACAAAGUUUGAAGCCACAAGUUGGAUGAUGAGGACAUGAAAAAAUUGUUAUAACAGAAUGAAUUACCUAUGAGCCGAGGUACAAAAAAAAAGUGAGGCCUUCCUCGUUUGUGCAGGUAGAAUCAAGGUUAAAGCGAAGGGUAAAUUUUCAGAGGGCUUAUUUCAACCCAACUGUAUGGAAAUGUUAUUGCUGUAUUGAACUGUGCUUUGGUGAAAAACGAGUGUAUGUGUGUAGGUGGAGGCCAGAGUGAUGCAGCAGUGAGUUCAGAAGGUCCCCAGUUUUCUCAGUCACUCUGCCAAGAAGAAACUAUACGAAUGCAAUCAUAGAGACAGAAGAAAACACAGACCAUCUCUCAAGGGUACUUCUAUGCAUCUGAGGUCACCAGAUUCACUUUUUUCCUUGUGUCUUUGAGCAUUCACACUCUGUAGCUUUGUGCUGAUUCUGUAUAUGGAAGGUUAAAGGCUGCCUUGCUUCAGGGUUAAAUGUUGUCAGCUUUUAUCUUAUGUCUCUCCAUCAGGCCAGUUGUUAAGUGACUCCUCAUUCCAGUACCAGCUACGUGCUUGUAUGUAAAUGCCUCUGCAUAAAUUGUGUAAGCAGGCAGACCUUAGAUGACUCCAAAUUUCAAGAUGAAGAAGAAGAACUUUUUUGAGUCAUCUUAUCAUGGGAGAUGUUUCAUGUAAAAAAAGCCCUUGUUAAGGUGAAUCCAUAUAGGGAUGGUGCAACCGGCAAAAUUCCUGGAUGAAGCAUGAAAGUCAUUACACAGGGUUACAUUACACUCUCGUCCCUAGUUUGGCUUCAACAUAAACGGUAUAAUUAAAAUGUACAACAUUUGAUAUCAUAGAAUCACAGGUAACCAUAGAAACUAACAUAACAAUAAAACUGUUUAUCAUAAAAUAAAUACACCCAAAAUAUAUAUAUGUUAAUAUAAACUAUCAGAUUUAAAAUACUACAUGUUUAAAAUGAACCUAGCGCUUGGGAUAGUUUUAUUUUAAUUCCAGAAUUAACAGGCCAUAAUGCAGAGGGCUGAUUGUCUAAAUUUAGAUCUACAAUUCUAUAUGUUAUGGUUUCCAAUUAUAGUGCUGUUAGAUACUCUGUAACUGCCCUGUAUUCACACAUAUCUGCAAAUAGGGGGGUAAUAGGGGAUUCAGGGGCUAAAUUGUCGAUAAAUUUGAAAACUAGUUUGAGAUUAAAUAAAUGCAUAAAACUCCAAAACUGAAUUGAUGAUAAUUUGUGUCAGUAAUGCCAAAGCUGGAGUCCUGUGUCUGUGAUAUGUGGGGCCCGGCUGUAUGUAUAAGAGAGUAGGGUUUCUGACUGUAGAGGGUGAAGCUUCAACCUAUACAGUUAUACAAAAUAAUAGAUUAGAGGAAGUAAGAGUAUACAUGAAAACUGGUCUAUUUGGUUUGAUAUUCAUCUUGUCUGUUUUCAAAAUGCUCCUCACACGUUGAUCAACUGUUCCUGAGAACGUAAAAUCAGUCCCCCGCUCUAUUGCUUGAUUCUCUAUCUCAAUCGUGAGAUUUUCAGGUGAGCAUCGUUUUCUAGUGGGACAAUACCAACACCACCGUAAAGGUCAUCAUAUUUGACAUUUUUUUAUAAGAAGACAUUAUUUUAUGUUGUACAAAAUACAGACAUGCUGUUGAACAGUUAGCAUAAAAUUUAACUCGAUCCAUAAUUGUAUUCAGUCAGGCCUGAACUUCAUUGUAUUGUUAUGUUAGUUUGUACCCUUUAAUGUCAACUCUGUGUUUACGUUGUGUUGUUUUUGCUUCACCUGUCAGUAAGUGAGACUGUGUCAGUUUGUCGCUGGCCCACACUGUAGUAUCUCAUCAACUUUUGACUGUUGUUUUACAGAUUUCCAUGCUGACUUUUGAAGAUGAGUCCCAAUGACUUUAGUUUUUUCUCAAGAGCCAGGAACAGGUAAUAUUUUUCUUUUAUCCACUGACACAUACCAAUAUCAAUCAGUUGAACUGGCACACAGUUUUACACAUUCAUGGUUACCAGCUAAUGAAGGACGUGCUGAUUGGGAUCCAACAUUUGUGGCUUUAUAAUGAGUGUUACAACAUCUACUGAGAGGAAUUCCAUUAUUUUCAUGUUCCUCUGUAAUCCCUAAAUUUGUCAUCCAGCACCAUCAUCUGAUCAAAAUUUGAAUCUGUGCUUCCAGUACUUUGCUUAAUAACCAAACACAUGCCGAAUAGAGGGAGACCUGCAAGCUAGUUUAGGCUGGCACCUUCAGCUGCACUGAUUUAGCAUUUGUCAGUUGUCAUACUAUCACAUGACACACAUUUGACAGUCUAUUUAAGCUGACAGAUUUCUGGUAUCUGCCUCUGAUCUGCCAUUGACACUGCUGCUUUGAACCAGGGUUGCACUCAGAUUUCUCAGCCCCACCAGUACUUCAGCAUUCACCUCCAGGCUUCAGCUAGGGAGCUUAUGAUACUGUCUCAUCACUUCUCUAACUUUGGUAAAAAAAAAAAAAAAACGUGGCAGUGAUGAUGUUGGCGAACAAACGCCAAACACAAUCAAUGUUCCCCAGCUUUAAUAAACAUUUCAAAUCACUUAAACAUGAGUUGUCUAAAUGAACUAAUGAUUUUAUCAACCUCAGCUCUGCUUACAAGAAUGCAGGACAUCUUAAUUGAAAUGUAGGACACUCUGCCUAAAGUCACCACAUUAGCAUUAUCUUCAUGAGCAUGUUAGCAUGCUGGUGAUACAGUUUGACUCACAACACGGCUGUUUUCCACUUUGCAUGCAGCCUCGUGGUACUGCUAGCAUAGCUGUAGACUAGAGAUUGGCUGUGUCCAAAAUGAAUCACUCAAUCCCUAACCCCUAACCCCCAUAUGGGAUUUUACUAUAUAGCUG
rnacentral:lncRNA from 1 species